UUUUUUUUUUGUGAGAGAGUAAAGUCCAAAUUCUUUGUAAUAAAAACUUGAAGAAGAUUAUCCAGUUGCACAAAAUGCGAAGGAAAAAGUCUAAAUGGCUUUUUCAGAAAAUAAAAUAUAAUUAAUUGUUUAGAUGAGAACCAAAUCUACACGUUAUUAAUAGACAGAAUCUGGAUUUUCGGUACUAACUAGUAUUAAUUAAUCUAUAAAUAUAAUAAAAAGACAAAAUUGUAGUUUAAUUUAAAUAUUUGAAGAACGUGUAUGUGUUAUCUCUAUGCUUUAGACGAACAUUUAAAAUUUUAUCAGCUUUUACGCAAAAAAUCUAAUUGUACCACCAGUAUUUAAUAAUGUUUCGAAACUUUCAUGAUCAACCAUAUAAUAACUGCUAAAGUUCAACAAGAAACUGAGAUCUAUGUUUUCUUAGGAGAAAAGAAAAGUAAUGCCUCUUUGAAUUUUAGUUACAAUAUAAUUGUUGUAACCAUCUAUAAUUACAAAAUAAAAUAUUGUUGGGAGUCUUGACCCAACAAACGUGAGAAGCAUUUAAGUGUUUUUUUGUUGUUGUACAAUCCGAAAAGUGAAACAAUGUAAGACUAGUAGCAUAAUUAAUUAACGGUGAAAUGAUGACAUAAUGAGUCAUUCUUUUGUCCUUUUUAUUAGAGAAUCAAGUAAAAAUGUCCAUUAAUUCUGUUUUAAUGAUCUGAAAAAAUGUACCUUAUGUUUUUUCGUCGAGGUUAUAUAUUCGGCUGUGAAUCCGCAGAUAUGUAUUAACAAAGCUUUCUCACAUGAUCACAUCUACACACUUCCUCUCACGUCGUUAACACCAAGACAGAUGGAGGAUUCGUUUGGUUCACUACUAUUAAAACAAAAGUAGGCCACAGUUUUGAGAUAUGGAUAAUUUGGUGUAUAAAAAUAAUAAAUCUAUUUAAAUAAAUAGCAAUAUCGGAGUUUAACAGUAAAUUCAGCAUGUGAUUUUGAUAAUUGUAUUUUAAAAAAAUAUUUUUAUUAUAUUACAUCAAUAUAGACUGCAAUAGAUUAUACGUAUUACAUGGCCAAAUCAUAAGUCCAUUUGAUAAAUUAAUUGUCUAUACAGAAAAAAAUUACAAUUUAUUACCAUGUAUUACAAUUUCUGUUUAAUACAACUGGGCUGGCCAACUUUUAUAUGAAUGACUUCCAUUUAUUACAAAUUUACAAUGGGCAACAUACAGAUUUUGAAGAAGUUUAUACAUUACAGAUAGUACCAUGACACAGCAAAAGCACUUAAGAUCUUCGAAGGUAGGGAAUGAAGUUACCUUCCACCUUAUGUGCUUGAACCAGAGGGUCAAUGAUUUUUUUCCAUCCUCCAAAGUUUGAGGGGGAAGCAGCAUCAGACAAUACAAACCCGUUAACGUAGAAGGUUGGUGUCCCAUAAACCCCUCUUGAACCGCUAUACUGCAACACACAACGCCACAGAAAGUAAAAUAUGAACUAAAAGUUACUAUUGUUCGUUUUCAGGUAACAUCGAGAACAGCCACGGGGUAUUAUCGACAAAUAGGUCUCAAUUUAUACUUGAUAGGGUAAAGAUUCAGGCCAUUAAACUCAGUAUUCUUCUAUUGCCCUGACGGCUGACCCUACUCAUUUUCUUGUGAGAUAUAGAUGCAAGGCAGCAUAAUAAGAUGAUGACUAUGCAGCCAAUGACCUUCCUGUAAGAAAUUUUAGUUACUAAAGGAAUUACCUUGAAGGAAACCCUGGUAGCACGAUCCGAUUUUUUGUCGCUGAAGCCAGAUUUGAGGACCGAUUGAUAUGACUUUCCCAACGUGACUGUUCCAAGUUCGACUAUUUUCUCUACAACUGCAGCUCUUGUCAGGAGGUUUGUUUGCGCGUUGUAGAACAAUGGCUGUCAAAAGAACAAACAGUUUCAGUGAACAAGAUAAACAUUAAUAAAUGCAAACAAUAAACAGCAGCUUCAGAUAAAUUCACAAAUAGAUAAGUUUUAGCUCUCUACAAGAUGGGACAAGUUUUUAGUAUUAACAUUGAACAAACCUGAUGCUUGAAGAACCCUUCCAGUAAACUGAAAGUAGCAUUGGCGUUUACGGUAUUCACAAUGUGUAAGGCCCGAGAAGUUACAUAAGCAUUGUCAUGGUAGCUGCAAUAUAAGCCAUUAAAACCGAAAAAAGAUUGAUUACUAGAACAAAUAUUUGAAAAAAGAAUGAUUACAUAUGCAUUGUCAUGGUAGCUGCAAAUUCUAAAAGCCAAGAAAACCGAAGAAAGAUUCAUUACAGGAACAAAUAUACCUACAAAUCUCAAAUGAACCAUUCACAUUUUCAUGAAACUAAUCAUAAAACAGAUAAGGAAGGAAACAUAUUUUAAAGUCCAGACCUUUCUUAAACGUACUUGUCGAUCGAUUAUAAUAGUUCAAAUUAAUCAAUACAGGAAUUAUGAUAGAUUAUAAAAUGGCAUGUGGUAGCUACUGGUUCAGUAGAACAAAUUCAAUUUAAGCUCAGAACAAAAUUUGAAGGCGAAGAGAGAACUAAGAGUACUGACGGUAAAGGAAGGAGAUGGAGGAGAAAGGCAACGCGAGAUCCAUAGUGACGAAGAGCUUGCUUCAGAGGCGGCCAAGAGUCUCUACUGUCCGGGCAAACCGGGUCAAAAUACGCCUCAAUUAGUAUAGUAUCCGGGUCAAAACGAUGACCCGGUGGGUAAACGAAGCCAUCUUGCUUCACCGGCGGCACUAGCUGCGCUUGUACUCGCGUCUCAGUGACGAAGACGACAAGGAACAACAAAAUCGUUCGAAUCAUUAUUCUCUAGCUCACACUUUUUCUCUCUUCCCAGGAUCGCCGGAGAUUAUUAAAAACAGAGAGACGGUGUCGGUGAAUGUAAGCAACGGCUACGAUUACUCGGAAGCUAAGCGAGACAGACACUUCUCUUUCAUCUGUAACCGUUGAUUUCAUUAAUGCUGACGUGGCAGAAACGCAAUCUUGUAAUCGGACAUUUUUGCAAUUUAUAGAGUUUGGUCUUUAAAUGUAAAUAAACGUAAAUAAGAGCCUCUCUCUACAAAAAUGAGAUUUGAGAUAUGGUCCAACUACGUUCACAGAGAGACUCGUAAACCAUAACUCUCUCUCUCUCUCUCUCCUCGAAUCGAAACUUUCCAGGUACGUAUUUGGUUGGAUUUAGAUCAUCGGAAAAUUCUAUUGCGUCUGUUUCCUUUGUCCCAAGUUCUUUCACUUUCACCGGAUUUUCUAGUUUGUAUGAUUGGAUCGAAAUUUCAAUUGAUUUUGUAUUGUGGACUGCGUCGUUGAUUGAUUUCAGGAACAGCUUGAUUUGGUUUAUCUUUGAUCUGUGAAAAUGGGGACGAAUGAUCUCGACAUCGAAGAAGGGACUCUGGAGAUCGGCAUGGGUAAGUCACCGAUCAUGGAUCACACUAUAUUGAUUCAGAACUUAUCCUCCAAAUCUGGUUUUUAUAGGGAUUUUCUAGUACUCUGGCUCCUUUUGACCUUGCUUAUCUAUGUUAUUGACUCGUUUGCGUCUCGCUGAUGUUGUUAACUAUAUUUCUUUAGUAUAAGACUGAUUCAUGAAUCUUUUGAAUUGCACAGAGUAUAGAACUGUUUCUGGUGUUGCUGGACCAUUGGUCAUUCUUGACAAAGUGAAGGUAGGAAACAUCAUUUGACCGUUAAGCAAUGCUAAUUUACUUUGUGAGGGAAACUUAAUACUUGUUGUACUGUAAUGAUAAAUCAGGGUCCAAAGUACCAGGAGAUUGUUAAUAUUCGAUUAGGAGAUGGAUCAACGAGACGUGGUCAGGUUUUGGAAGUUGACGGCGAAAAAGCAGUUGUGCAGGUUUAGGAUUUUUUUGACCAUGUCACUUCAAACUUUGGAUAAUACGUAAACACAAACUAUGUGAAUCUAGUUACUUUUUCAGUGACUUACUCAUCUAAGGGUUUCAGGUUUUUGAAGGAACAUCUGGAAUUGACAACAAGUUUACCACCGUGCAAUUCACAGGAGAGGUAAUUUACCAUAAAUCCUGCGUUUUCGCAGAUUUGUUGAAAUGAUUGGUUAAUUUUUCUACUUCCUGCAUUUUUUUUUUUAAAACCGGUUUUGUGUGUUUUCAGGUUUUGAAAACUCCUGUGUCAUUGGACAUGCUUGGGCGCAUAUUUAACGGUUCAGGAAAACCGAUUGAUAAUGGCCCUCCUAUUUUGCCAGAGGCAUACCUUGAUAUCUCAGGUGAGCUUCAAAGAGGAAAAUUUCUCCAUUGAUGAGAUCUCUGAAGCAAUAUUCUGUCUAUGUGUUUUCAUUUUUUCUAAAAUGUGUCUGUGUGUUAUAUUUAUAGGAAGUUCAAUCAACCCCAGUGAAAGAACCUAUCCCGAAGAAAUGAUACAGACAGGAAUUUCCACCAUCGAUGUCAUGAAUUCCAUUGCUCGUGGACAGAAGAUUCCGCUUUUCUCUGCUGCUGGUCUUCCACAUAAUGAAAUAGCUGCUCAGAUUUGUCGUCAGGCUGGUCUUGUCAAGCGUUUGGAAAAGACUGUUGAUCUACUUGAGGUAAUCCUUUAUAAUUUGUAGUUGUACCACCACAAAUAUAUCUUUUAUUCCUCUAUGAUCAGAACAAUUCGCUAAAGCACUUAUUUGAGUUGUUACUGUUUCUACAUGUGUGUUCAUGGAUUUGUAGUUACAUCUAAAGGUCUUCAAUUUAGAUGCUCUAUGCUUAUAAAAGAAACUCAGUUGUUGUCAAAAUUGAAUUUCUUGUUUGUAGACAUUCCUAUUCAACGUUGGCUGUCUCAUAAUCUCAAUUAUUCUUUCUCCCUCUCGUGUUUUUUAGGAUCAUGGAGAGGACAAUUUUGCAAUUGUGUUUGCAGCUAUGGGUGUGAACAUGGAAACAGCUCAGUUCUUCAAGCGAGAUUUUGAAGAAAAUGGAUCAAUGGAGAGAGUUACUCUUUUCCUGAACCUGGUAAAUUUACUAAGUGUGACUUCUAUAGCUUAUUUCCAUAUCAUGGUGUUUUUUAGUAUUUUAUAUAUUUCUUAGCUUAAAACGGAUUUGACUUUCCAUUAUUCCAACAGGCCAAUGACCCAACCAUUGAGAGAAUCAUCACUCCUCGAAUUGCCCUCACAACAGCUGAAUAUCUGGCUUAUGAAUGUGGGAAACACGUCCUUGUUAUAUUGACAGAUAUGAGUUCUUAUGCUGAUGCUCUCCGUGAGGUAAAAUGAAUCUUUAAUACCGGAGUAGUCCCUUUAUAUCAUACCGUGUUUUUGUUUCUUCAGGUUUGAUAAUAAGAUUGAGAAACUGUAGGUUUCCGCUGCCCGAGAAGAGGUUCCCGGAAGACGUGGAUAUCCAGGUUAUAUGUACACUGAUCUUGCAACUAUUUAUGAACGUGCUGGGCGUAUUGAAGGAAGAAAAGGUUCCAUCACCCAAAUCCCAAUCCUUACUAUGCCCAAUGACGGUAGAAAACAUAUCUUUACCCAGAUUUCUAUUUUGUACUUUGAGAAAACUCAGUUCUGACUCGUUGUUUUUAAAAUAUUAAUCAGACAUCACUCAUCCAACUCCGGAUCUUACUGGUUACAUUACUGAAGGUCAGAUAUAUAUCGAUAGGCAACUUCACAACAGACAGGUAAGAAAUAACUCCCACCAGGAUCUGAUCUUACUGGUUUCGCUUAUAUUAUGAAUGCGGCCCUGAAUGAAUGUAUCUUUGUUUCUUCCUGAAAAACAGAUAUAUCCACCCAUCAACGUGCUUCCAUCCCUUUCUCGUUUAAUGAAGGUUAGAAUUCAACUCCAUUUUGUUUAAUACCAAAUGCAUUCUAUCUCCAGAUCUUAGUAACGUAUUGUUUCUCAUUCUGUUAGAGUGCUAUUGGUGAGGGCAUGACUCGUAAAGAUCAUUCAGAUGUGUCGAACCAGCUGUAUGCGAAUUAUGCAAUCGGGAAAGAUGUUCAAGCGAUGAAAGCUGUUGUUGGAGAAGAAGCACUUUCUUCAGAGGAUCUGCUUUAUCUAGAGUUUUUGGAUAAGUUUGAGAGGAAGUUUGUAAUGCAAGGAGCUUAUGACACACGCAACAUUUUUCAGUCGCUGGACUUAGCUUGGACAUUGCUCCGUAUCUUCCCACGGGAGCUUCUUCAUCGUAUCCCUGCAAAGACACUUGACCAAUUCUACAGCCGCGACUCAACCACUUAAAAUGAGGUAAUGGAGGUUAUCUUAUCGAAACUCUUUUGAGAAGAAAAGUGUGAAUUUUGUGAUGUGUAUUAUUUGGUGCGUAUUUUAUAGAGGAAAACAAAGAAGAGCUAUAUAUUCCGUCUCUCCAUAUCUGGUGAUAUUUUUUUUGGUUCUGUUGUGUUCCAAAGUGAAAAUAAAAAUCGAUAAAACGAUGUCGUAUUGUAUUACCUUCCCUUUUUUUGUACGAAUUUGUUGAGAUUGGUUCAUAAAUGGGAUUAUAAGUACAUACAUUGUCAAUCCAUUUUCUGGAUAAAGUAAAAGUGGUAAUUAGUAAUAGCCUUUGGAAAAUCUACUACGUUUGUAUCUUUAAAUUUGCACUUAGUAUUGUCGAAAACAAUCAUGAUGAGACGAUAGACCACCGAAAUAGAAUUAGAUUAGAUUAUUGAACUAAGCCUAGUUUUGUCCAGUUUCCAAUCAAUCGCAAUCUUCGUUAUCUAUAAUCAAUUAGUCAUCUAACUUUAGUUCACAAUUUUUGCUACUUUAAAAGCAACUUAAAUUUACGCGUUGAUUAAUAUUUUUGCAAAGGAAGAGGAGAACCUAGAGAGUCCCACUCCAAAGGGCCACAUUGAGGGAAAAUGAUACCCUAACCUUCUCUAAACGCAAAAGCAAAGCACCCCCACAUAACCAACCAAAGGCAACACUUUUUUUCAUUUCGUUUAAAUUUCAUUUUUAUGUAUUCAUCUUCCCUUUAUUUUUUUUUAAAAAGACAUCCAAUAUAAAGGACCAAAAGAUUAAGACCAAAGAGUCGACGACCGAUCUACUUUGCUCACAUGCUUAAAAACCAACAUAAAACGACCAAAAACAUUGGAACAAACUAUUUUCUUAGAAAAAAAAUUAUGGGUUUUUGCUUCUCCAAAUUCUGCAAAUCACAAACCCAUGAGAUCCCAAUCUCUUCCUCUUCCGAUUCUAGCCCUCCUCAUCACUACCAACCUCUCCCUAAACCAACUGUUUCUCAAGGUCAAACCAGUAAUCCCGCCUCCAAUCCUCAGCCCAAACCCAAACCGGCUCCUCCUCCUCCUUCAUCAUCCUCCGGUUCACAAAUCGGUCCAAUCCUAAACCGACCAAUGAUCGAUCUCUCAGCUCUCUACGACCUCCACAAAGAACUAGGCCGUGGCCAAUUCGGAAUCACUUACAAAUGUACGGACAAAUCCAACGGCCGAGAAUACGCCUGCAAAUCCAUCUCAAAACGUAAACUCAUACGUCGCAAAGACAUCGAAGACGUGAGACGUGAGGUCAUAAUCUUGCAACACCUUACUGGUCAACCAAACAUCGUCGAGUUUCGAGGUGCGUAUGAAGACAAAGACAAUCUUCAUUUGGUUAUGGAGCUCUGUUCUGGAGGAGAGCUUUUUGAUCGUAUCAUCAAGAAAGGAAGUUACUCUGAGAAAGAAGCUGCUAAUAUCUUCAGACAGAUCGUUAAUGUUGUUCAUGUUUGUCAUUUCAUGGGCGUUGUUCAUAGAGACUUAAAGCCUGAGAAUUUCUUGCUUGUUAGUAAUGAAGAAGAUUCUCCCAUCAAAGCAACAGAUUUUGGCCUCUCUGUUUUCAUCGAAGAAGGUAAAGUCAUCUUCUUGAUUACUUAAAUUAUGGGUGUUUCUUUUCUCGUGUUAGUAUAUUUUACGAACCAAAUUAAGUGUUUUGACUCUUGUUUCAAAGAUUAAUUUGUCUUUGCUUUUACAUUGAGUAGUUAGUGUGUUUUAGGAGAUAAACCAUAAUGUUUAAACUUGUGUUAGAAUCAAGAAAAAAGAUGAUAGCGACAUUGUAUCUCCGUGUGGGACACCAAGUCAACUUCGAAAACGACUUGGGUCAACCCAAGUCAACAGAUGUUUCCCACAAGAUUAAAAAUUGACAACAAGAAAGCAACAGAAAUCAUUUUAUAGGGAAAUAGUAUUCUUUUGAACAUUUUGAUUCACACCAAAAAAAAAAAAAAAACGAAUCUGUUUGAAUGCAAAUUAGCUAAAACUUUGGUUCUGUAUUUUGAAAGCCUUACAAGUAACCAUAUCUAUAUGAUUAAAAUUUGUAGGUAAAGUGUAUAGAGAUAUAGUUGGGAGCGCAUACUACGUUGCACCUGAAGUUCUACAACGAAACUACGGGAAAGAGAUCGAUGUAUGGAGUGCAGGUGUCAUGCUUUACAUUCUUCUCAGUGGUGUUCCUCCAUUUUGGGGAGGUAUGCAACAAAAAAAAAACACGAAUCUAAAGUCAAUAUAUCAUAUAUAUAGUUAGCUUGAAGAAUGUUGGAGACCUGAUAUUUGGUACUACUUAAUGUUGUUUAGAGACCGAGAAGACUAUAUUUGAGGCGAUCUUAGAAGGCAAGCUGGAUCUUGAAACUUCUCCUUGGCCAACUAUAUCGGAAAGCGCAAAAGAUUUGAUUAGAAAAAUGUUGACAAGAGAUCCUAAAAAGAGGAUUACCGCAGCUGAAGCACUUGGUAUGUUUGCAAUGAGUAUACAUUUGUAACAUAUUCUACCUCCUGCUCCUAAGUCCUUGCUAACUGAUCUUUUGUUGCGGAUUUUUAUCGGAAAAAAACAGAGCAUCCAUGGAUGACAGACAUCAAAAUAUCAGAUAAACCAAUCGAUAGCGCUGUUCUUAUUAGGAUGAAGCAGUUCCGCGCAAUGAACAAGCUCAAGAAACUUGCCUUGAAGGUAAAUUUAAAUGAUUCUCCAUCUCUAAAAUGAUUUCAAGAUCGAUAUGAAAAAGUUUAAUAUUCGUUGUAUUUUUUUUAUUUUUUUAGGUGAUAGCGGAAAACUUAUCCGAAGAAGAGAUAAAGGGAUUAAAGCAAAUGUUUAAGAACAUGGAUACAGAUGGAAGUGGCACCAUCACUUUUGAUGAACUAAGAAGCGGAUUACAUCGUCUUGGAUCUAAGCUUACAGAAUCUGAAAUCAAACAACUCAUGGAAGCUGUAAGAAAAGGAAACAAAUCCAAUUAGUUAGUUAUCAAACCAUGCAAAAUAAAUCUAAAAGCUAAACUUUGUCAAUGGUUUUUGUUCAUUUAUAGGCUGAUGUGGACAAAAGUGGGACGAUUGACUACAUUGAGUUCAUAACUGCAACAAUGCAUCGUCAUAGAUUGGAGAAAGAAGAGAAUUUGAUAGAAGCAUUUAAAUUCUUCGACAAAGACAGAAGCGGGUUUGUAUUCUUCACCCAAAUGAACACGAACUACUAUAUUAAAGAUCGAAUUGCCUUCAAAACAUACUCUUCUUUUUUCAAAAAUCAGAUUUAUCACAAGGGACGAGCUUAAACAUUCCAUGACUCAGUAUGGUAUGGGUGAUGAUGCGACCAUAGAUGAAGUUCUCAAUGAUGUUGAUGCGGACAAUGUAAGAAAAGACAUUUAUUUCUAGUUGUCUUUAUUACUGGCUAAAGAUGAUGAUGAAUGUUAAAGAAAAUGAUUAAUAAUGAUGAUGUUGAUUGAUAGGAUGGGAGGAUAAACUACGAGGAAUUUGUGGCGAUGAUGAGGAAAGGAACUACAGAUUCAGAUCCAAAGCUGAUUAGAUGAUAUCUUCAACUACAAUGAUGGGUGCUUUGCUUCUACUAUAUAUAAAGUAAACUAAUAAUAAACACGAAUGCAAUGAGAAUUAGUGCAUACAAAUGAAUUGUGUUGUACUUGCGUCAGUAUGAAGUAAAAUGAAAAAGGCCUUUUAAGGCCCAUUUAUAAUAGGCACAGCGUUUUAGAAGCUUUGUUCUUGUUUUUUAACGGCAUCAAAAGAAAGAGUGGGAAACCCUCUACUCUAUCUAGAGGCUUUUGAUUUUCUCUCAGAGAAGCGAAACAAGAUUUUUGAAGUUUGUCGACGAUGCUCUCAAUCUCUCAGCUGCCGAGUUUCUCGUUAAUCUCCGUCAAAUCUCUUCGUUAUCCUUCUUCUUCUCCUUCUUCGUCUCUCUCUCUCUUCUUCUCCUUCUUCCCUAGGGUUUCUAAUUUCGUCAGAGCAAGUUCCGGAAUCCCCAAUUUGGUCGCCUGUGGUCCGACGGAGAUUAUCAUCCCCAGAGUUAAUAACGCCGGACUCAGAAUCGAGGAGACAGUAGACGCCUUGAAAGGGAAGAUUCGUCUUGAUUCAUGGAUCUCUUCUCGUGUCAAUGGCGUUAGUCGAGCUCGUGUCCAGUCGAGUAUACGAUUGGGACUCGUUACCGUCAAUGGUCGAGUCGUUGAUAAGGUUUAACUUCGGAUUCGAUUCUUCAAAAUUUCAAUUUCUUAAUCAAAUUUCAAUCUCUCUCUCACUCUCUUCCAGGUUUCGCACAAUGUCAAAGCUGGCGAUGAGGUUAAUUGUACAAUUUCAGAACUUCAACCUUUGAAAGCUGAAGCUGAAGACAUACCAUUGGAUAUAGUUUAUGAAGAUAAACAUGUUCUUGUUGUUAACAAACCAGCUCACAUGGUAAUCUCAUUCUCUCAAUAUACUUAGAUUAUGACUUUAGAAUCAUCACUAAGAAUAUCUCUCCAAUUCUUAGGUUGUUCAUCCUGCGCCUGGGAAUCCUACUGGCACGCUUGUUAAUGGCAUACUUCACCAUUGCAGUCUUCCUUGUGUUUCUUAUUCCAACGCGGAAGAUGAUGAUUCCGAUGAAGAAACUUUUUCAGAUGAUGAAGAGAUGACGACUUCUUCUAGUUCAUAUGCUGCUUCUGUUCGUCCUGGUAUUGUUCAUAGGCUGGAUAAAGGCACAACUGGAUUGCUUGUUGUAGCCAAGGUUUGUGUUUUCUCUUCUUCUUUUUGGUGGCUGCUUUAUGAACUACUGUGAUUGCUUUUUAUUGUUUAACGAGAAAAGGGUAAUUGCAGGAUGAACAUUCCCAUGCCCAUCUAGCAGAACAGUUUAAGCUACACACAAUUGAGAGAGUUUAUGUAAGUCUUACUACUGGGGUUCCUUCUCCACCACAGGGGCGUAUUGAGAUACCAAUUGGUCGUGAUUCAAGUAAUCGGAUCCGUAUGGCUGCUAUACCUGGAGGAUUAAGCGGUGGAAGAGCCCGCCAUGCUGCUAGUAGGUGAUGAGAGCAGUCUUCUAAAAAUGCAUCAAGCAUUAUAACACUGCAUCUAUUCUUCAGAAUGAAAUAAAUCUCUCUUAAAGAGUGGUUAACUGAUACUGAUAUGCUCAAACAAUGCUCAUUUAUGUUGUCCUAGGUAUAAGGUAAUCGAAACAUUCGCUGGAGGUGGCUCUGCAUUGGUUGAGUGGAGACUGGAAACCGGCCGUACACAUCAGGUAUCGUUACAUUGUUCAGUAUGAAACUCUGUCCAUAUGAAGGAAUACUCAAAAUCUAUAUACUGUUUUUUAAUGUUUCACAUCGUUGUCUGUAAGAGCUUGAGUUGGCCUUUAUGUUUCUGUUACUGCCUCAAGUCAUCUGUUUGAUCCAGCUGCUUUGAACUUGUGAUCUCUGAAACGUUUCUCUUUUUCACCUUGAUUUGAAGUAGAUACGUGCUCAUGCUAAGUAUAUGGGAGUUCCUCUAUUGGGUGAUGAAGUGUAUGGUGGAACAAAAAGCAUGGCCCUUUCUCUUCUGCAGAAAAGAGUCUCCCGCAGUGAUCAAGAAGAGAUUGUAGAGCUGAUUUCCAGAAUGGAUAGGCCUUGCCUUCAUGCUAUAGUUCUCGGGUAAGAAAACUUGAAUCUCAAUCUAAUAUUCUAGAUUAGGAAAAACCAGUUAAUAACUGUUUUUUCUACUCUGUUUUCCUUGAUAGAUUUACACAUCCGUGCACUGGGGAAAUUGUAAAGUUUUCAUGUCCACCGCCUUCAGAUCUUGCAGAGAUAGUAGGCUUGCUUCGUAGAAGCGGAUUAGAAAAAGUAACCCAACACUCUCUGCUCUCUAGCUAACAUCACCAUACAUUCAGAUUUUGUUUUCGUUACAAAGCUUUUGGAUAUACUGAAACAUCGAACUGUUGUUCUUGCUUUCUUACAGGUAAAAUAAUCUCUCGAGACAACGAGACAUGUCUCAUCUAAACAAGGGAUAAUCCUCUCUGGGUCAUACUUGACGAAAGAAAAGAGUUAUUCUAAAAUCAAAAGCCUUUUUAAUAGCGUUGUAGAAGUGUAUACAAACUCUACAAUGACAUGAAGGAUAAUUUCACAAACGAAGGUGUGUAAGUGAAUUAUAACACUAAAAUGGCAUCAAACCCAAAAUGAUCUUUGAAACCAAAAAUCUUUCAGCUUCUUCUUCUUCUUUCAACCAUUUACCAAGAAGAAGCAUUCCACUUUAAACUCAAAAGGAUCAUUCGGUUGAAACAUUCAUGUCCUAUGAUCCGUCAAUUCAGGGUUGAUCGCCACGGCGUUUUUUCUCGAUCAUCUCCCUUUGCUUCUCCGCGAGCUUAUCUAAAGCAGACGAAACGGCGUCGCUUCCACCAAUCAGAAGCCUUGUGAUAACCUCCGGAUCCGUCUCAAAUCGGGCCGCUUCAAACUCCUUCCUCGCGUUCUCUCUCAACACGUCCCUCCAUAGGUUUCCCCUAGAAUCAGUCCAUGUGAAGAAUCGCGUCGCUCGUAGUAUGUCUCUGUACAAACUCAACGCUUCCCGGCGCGUGCUCGUCAGACGCCGUCUAUUCAAAAACUCGGCCUCAUCGUCGUCGAUUAUUGGUUUCUCUUUCUUCGCUAGAUGUCUAUCGAGAAGCUCCUCUACGGUGUCUGGACCUUCGUGCAAGAGACGCCUCGACGAUACAGCAUCUCUCCGAGACAUCAGAUCUAGACGACCGGCCAGAUUUCGCCAUUUCUGAAGCUUCGUAGCCAUCAUCUCUCUCUUUCUCUCAACACCAACAUUGAAAAUUUCCGACUCCGAGACCGAGAGGCAAACAACAUGCUCAAUAACAGACUGGGCUUCAAGUGAAGCUAAAAUUGUUUAGGCCCAUUUAAAACCCAAUUCUAAUAAGACGACGACGGAUAUAAUAAAAUUUGAGCCCAAAACGCACCACCACUUAGCGUUUUGGACCUCUGCGUUCUCCAGAGGCAGAGAGGGAGAAGUUAGCUUCCUCAUAUGGCGGGCGUUCAAAGAAGCAUUUUUCUAUUUCUUCCUCUGAACGUGAAACGUCAUGACUAAUCGCAAAGAUGAGAAUUUGAAAAAAGCUAUAAAGGUUUUAAAAAUGCUAAUAAGAAAAGGGUUCAAACAAACAAUCUUUUACGUGCAUUGAGAAGAAGAAACAUGGAAUUGCUGCACAAUCACAGGACAUGAAGUGUAAGAGUCUAAAACUCUAAAUACAGCAGAUGGGUAUGGAUAUUUGCCAGGUCAAACUCCAAAUACAUAGUUCUAACAACGAAAAGAGAAGAAGUCAGAAGACACAAAACGACUAAAGAGCUAUGUCAAACAGAUGAUGUUUUAAGCUAUUGAAUAAGUAUUAGAAACCAAAUGUUCUUUUACCUUCUACUUAAUUGUAGGUGAUGCAAUGUUAAACUCUUCAAAUAGAAUGUUUGAUCAGCUUUGUGUUUAGAACUCUUUCUUGCGUAUCUUCUUCAAAUUUAUAGAUUGUUAUUUUCAACAAGCAACCUCAUAUUCUCUUCUACCUGGAUUUGUAAGAUGUUUAUAAGAUAUCGGUUCUUUGACGUUUUUCCAAACAAUAUCACUUCUAUUUUAGUGAUGUUCUAUUGCAACCCAUCGAGAAAGUGUUUAAUCUCGCAUGAUAAGCUUUGUGGAUGGGUUGCAGCAGAAGUUGACUACAACAGAAAUUAUAAUGUUGCGUAUAACGUCGAGAAAUCUAAAAAUUAUCUUACAAAUCCAGGUAAAAUAUAUAUAUAUAUAUAUAAUGUUGCUCGCUGAAAAAUAUCAAUCAAUAGAGAUAAAGAACAUAUGCAAGAAAGAGCUUAACCACAAAGAUGACCAUCUAGCAUUGCAUCACAUUCGAUUAAAGCAGAAGCUACAAAAAAAUGUAAAAGAACAUCAUCUUACACCAAUACUAAUGGCCUUGCAUAUCCAACAUCUCGUCGAGUCCUUUAAUUCUCUCUAAACCUUCACUAAUCAGAUACCGAAUCUUUUGUUUGUCGUCACAGUCUCUGUUCUUUUCCAUCUCAUGCCUAACAGUCUGUUUCAAUUCCCCUACAAAACAUGAACACACGAAUCAAACAAAAGCUUAUCCUCCAAAAUCUACUAAACCCCUAGAUUUCGAGAUUUUGUAUCAAAUGGAUCUACGGUGAACGCAGAUUUCUUGUAUGUGAUGAAUUCAUAGAUAGACAAAGCAGAGAUAUGGAAUCGUUUUCAGGAAUAAGAAAUGAAUAUACGAACCUCUAACAUGAACAGGAGCUCUCUGAGCUACCUUCAAUGCUUGUCGGUAGAGUUUAAGCACUCGAGCCCGGAGGAUAAAGCUCUGCAGAUCCAAUUGGACCAUAAUUUAUCCCCAGCUAGACAAGAAUUGAUUCAGAAAUAACUGAAAUCGGCAAAUCCAAACCUAGGUUCCUGAGUUCAAGAAAAAAGAUGGGAGAAGAAGAGUCAGUCACGUGAGAAGCACGUGACGAAGAAUUAAUGAAAAGAUGUGCAAUAUGGUUAAGUGUAAACCGGUGUUUAGUAUUAACUGAAAUCAAAUUACUAUAGCUUGGUUUGGUACGAUUUGUGUUUUGGACCAAUUUGGUAGUCCGGUCCCAAUUACGGAAGUCCCUCCGAACCAUCGUGGUUUUUAACUGACUUAUAUUGCAAACAGAUACCAAAAUUAAUUAGGUAGCUUUAAAUAAAGAUUUAGUGGUUUAGCAUCGUGUUUCAAUUAUAUGAUUUUCUUAAUCCUGACCAGUGGUCAGUGGACAUAUUCGCAUUUUUUCUCCAUUGUUUUGGUCUAUUUAGUUUUUAUCACAUUUUCAGCCUAAUUUUAAAUCGUUUACUAUUGUUCGAGCCUUGGUGGACUACUAUAAUACUAUUCUCUCAUUUUAAUAUUUUAUUUGACGCACGAAAUAGUAAACCACAAGACAUCACUAAUUUAGACAAGGGUUCGGUAAUUUAAUAAAGACAACGUAGGAUUUAAAAUAUAGUUUCGUUAAUUAAAGACAAUCAUUUACCAAAACGUGUUACUGAAUGAUUUGUGUUAAUGUUAUUAUCAGAAUUCAAACAUACAAUAUAUGAAGAAAAAAAUGUUUCUACUGAAAUACAUUUUUUUUUCUCUAAGUAAGUUGUUUCAAUUACAGAACUAUAAAUGCUAAUUAACAAAAAGUAGAAAUUCAAAAAGCUCCAACUAGUUCAAUGCAUCGUUGAUAAGUUCUAACUUCUACCUUCCCAUAUGGCUGAAUUUUGUUUGCAUGUAGGUCCCAAAUAUCACCACCGUUUCUUAAAGAAAUGUGUUACUAUUUUGAUUUAUGGACUAAUGAGGCCCAAACUAAAGUCAAAUUAGUAAUUAACUAAUCAUCAUCCUUGGAAAAUAAAAAAAUGUGCCCUUUAGCUUUUAGAUAGUAACAAAAAGAAGAAACUUGAAACAAAAACAAACAUGUCUUCCGCAUUUUAUAAAGUCGGCCGUAUAAACACAAAGGUCUAGCUUCCUCCUUUUUAACUCACAUUUGACCAAAACUCCUCCAAUCCAGGCACUCAUCGUUGACUUUUUCAAACUCAUUUCCUCUCUUUUUCCUUCUUCUCACAUCAUUAUAGACCAAACAUAAAAAACCAGAAUCCUCUGUUCUUGUCUGCGAAUUUUGCUGUUGUGCUCAUCGAUGGACAUUAAACAUCAUACUUCGACUUCAAAACCUAAGAACAAGAACAAGCUUUUGAAGAUGCUUCCUAAAGCUAUGUCGUUUGGACAUCGAGUUCCACCGUUUAGUCCCGGGAGAGAUCUCCACCACAACCACAACCACCACAAUAACACGGCGGCUAACAAAAUGUUUUUCUCUGGUCCUAUGGUUCCUUUGGUUCCUAACGCGGCUCGGGUUAGAAGAAACAAAAGCGACGCUGUUUGGGACGAACCUACUUCACCUAAAGUCUCUUGUAUCGGUCAGAUCAAGCUUGGUAAGUCUAAAUGUCCCACCGGUAAAAAGAACAAGAACAAAACAACUCCGUUGUUGAUACCUAAAAUCUCCAAAACCUCAACGUCGUCUUUAACCAAAGAAGAUGAAAAAGGUCGUCUUUCGAAGAUCAAGCGUAUCUUCUCGUUCUCGCCGGCGAGUGGAGGAAACAUAUCAAGAAAAUCUCAUCCCACCGCCGUAUCCGCCGCGGGUGAACAUCCUGUUACGGUGGUUUCCACCGCGGCAGUGCCUUCCUUAGGUCAGAUGAAGAAAUUCGCUAGCAGCCGCGAUGCUUUAGGUGGAUUUGAUUGGACGGUCGAGAUGGAACAUGAUGAAGAAUCCCCGGCUGAUCAUCGCCGUGGUUACUAUUCCGACGACGAGAAGAGAGGAGCUUACUUUAGAGACGACGAUGACGACGAUGAAGACGACAUAAUUAUCCCUUUCUCAGCUCCUUUAGGGUUAAAACCAAAGAAAGAAGUUAACUUGUGGAAGAGAAGAACCAUAGAUCCACCAAAACCACUUCAUCUUCAAACCACUUGAUUAAAUUUCCUUCACAUUUUUUUUUUUACUUUUUAUUACUGCAGGUCAAAUUGUAUAAUGAUCAUCAUUCACAAUGAAUCUGGAUUUGUUGUUAUGUGUAUAUGUAAAGUUGUGAUGCUGAUGAUCGUUCACUUCAAUAGUCUUUUGUGAAUAUAAAUUUUGCUCCGUCUAAAUAAAAAUCUCGUUCUCACUACAUUUUUUUCAAUUACAAAAUUAGUUUUAGUCUUUCCUUAUGUGACAGAGCGCAUGACAACAACAAUGUCUUUUGAAAAAAAAAAAAAAAAAAUCUAACUACCAAUGUGUUUCCACCACCAAAUUUUCCAUAUAAUAAAUGUAAAUCACAAUCAACCAUUAAUAUCACAUACAAAAUGAUGAUUAUGUGUAUAUAUUUAUUGAGAAUAAUACUACAACAUCUUCAUCGGGUAGGUACAAAUCAUUAACAUCUCGAUGUCAAAAAUUUUUUAAAAAAUAUCAUAAACAUCUCAUUCCCUUAUGGACCAAUUCAAAUCCGUCCAAGUUUCCGUGCAAAGUUAAACACACAAAAGCAAAAACUCAAAUCAAGAAUCACACUAUUUUGAGUUUUUUCAUAUCCACCGGUUUCGGAUGGUACAAACAAAGACCAAAAACCCAUUCUUUUUUUAAACGAGAUGUAAUAAAAUAUGAGUUUUGAUACAAAUUAAUAAGUGACACGAACGCCUGAGUACCGAAGAAUCUCUCCGAUGAGUUCUCCUUUACCGGAACCAACAUACCGGCCACAGAUAUCUCCAUCUCUAAUGAACAAGAAAGUUGGAACUUCGAUAACAUUCAUGUCCUUGAGAAACUCCAUACAACUAUCGUUCUCGUCACCAUUCAUUCUAGCGAAUACGACUGUCUCCGACAUUGACCGGGACAGUUUCAGCACGGUCGGAUACACCUUAACGCAAGGACCACAAUGUUUCAGACCGACGUCGAGCACGAUCAGCUUGCCUCCCGUGCGAUUCUCGUCGAUCAGCUUCUCCACGUCAGCUCUACCGUGCAGCUGCACCACCGCCGAGUGGUUGUCUCCGUAGUAUAGAACGUCUCCCAUUAACUGGUCCGGUUCAAUACCUGUCGAUGGUCAAACUUUUCCAUUUAUUUACGUCUUUGCCACUACAUUAUAUUACUUACGUUACAGCUCCAACAUAUAACACGUUUGCUUAUAUGUUUAUAUAGAAUUAUAUUGAAUUCUCUUUUAAAAUUCGUUAUGGUUAGUGUUACAACAUCAACAUAUAUCAAUACUCCAAACCUAAAUAAAUAAUCAUCGUACAUCGAAAUCAGUUAAUAGACAACUGUAUGUCCAAAAUUUGCUAAAAUCUAGGUGAAUUUGAGAGAUUGUAUUAAAUGUUUCCUUAAUUUGAGAGAUUUGCUCAACAAAUCAGGGGCAUUAUCGGUUGAAUAAAGUCUAAUUCCAAAUGUUUUUUUUUGCCUAUCUAGAUUAAAUCGAGUUAUGUUUUUAAUGAGAGAAGAAAUUAGGGAAAAUUAGGAAAUCACCUUCUUCCUCGUGUAUUUUCUCCAUGCUUUUAUAAAAGCUAAAGUGAGGAACUUUCUCAAUCUUCUCUCUCCGACAGAGCUCUCUGGUUUUGUCAGACUCAUCACCCAUGACGAGCAAGAAAACGACGUCGUUACAGGUCCUGCUCAGUUCCACCAUAAACGGAUAUAUCUUAUUACUCUGAUCACUCUUACUCGUAGCAAACUCUGCAACCACAAGUUUGCUCUUCGCAUUUUUCAACGCCUCAUCGAAUUCCUCUCCGCUGUGAAUCUUUUGUACCUUCUCGUCUUUCGCCGGGGGUGUACCCACCUUCCCCGGAGACGCCGCUCCGGCCUUCACUUUCACAGCCGAGAAUAGUCUUUUCGGGAGAUUUUCCCUCCGGAACAGAGAGUUGGUUUUAUGGUUAAAGAAUACGAAGGAGGAGGUCGAAGCAACGGCGGAGGAAGGCCGUGGGACUACGGUGGCGAUUGGUUUGGCUAAGAAGUUAGCGACGGUGGCCAUCGUGAGAGUGUGUGUAGGAUUUGGUUAGAGAUCAGUGAAUGGUCUAAUGUGGAUAGAUGUUUUAAAAUGGGUCCAAGACUUUUAUGUCCACUUGUUUAAAUUGUGUGGAUUGUGUUCACUGUUGGUUAGAUUUUUUGUGGGAAUAUAAAAGGAAUAUGUGAACUUGGUGAGAUUGCUGUUUCUAAAAGCAAUCGAAGUUGAUUUUGUUUAAGUUGUUGCAAAAAGACAAAAUAUUCUGGAAAAUUCCACCAGCAUCCAAGUAAGACUAAUUUAACCGGCUGAAUAAAUUCGACAUUGUAGUUUCCAUCUGGUAAACAGAAAAUGUAUCGGCCAAAGAAAACAAAAGAUUGCGUCAGCUGUCAUAGUUUGGAGUUUGGACAUUUUUUCAGCUUCGACCUUAAUGGCCAUUGACUUGGACAUGUAUUGUUGUUGUUGAUGUCACGUACGAAUAUAAGCAUAUCCACUUCCGGUGGAACUGGAUGUUAGGUAAACCAAUAGAAAUGGGCCUUAAGACCAUAAAUAUUAAUCAAAGCCCACUAUAGUUUUGACCCAGACUCGUGUUUAGUAAACUUUUAGUCAAGGAGAACAAUUUUUUUAGUAAAGCUCUAUAUUUUUAUUCUAAAAUAGAGUAAUUUUAUAAUAGAGUAGUAUUCUCUCCAAUGUAUUACUCUAUUCCUUACUCUAAAAUAGAGAUAGUGUAAAAGAUAGAGGAAAAUUAUAGAGUUGCUCUAUAUAUAGAAUAAUCUUCACUUUUGCUUUAUUUUAGAGUAGAAUAUAGAGUAAGGUCGGAGAGAAUUUUGCUUUAUAUUAAAAUUUAGAAAAAAAAAUAGAGUGGGGGUUGGAGAUGUUCUAGUGUGCAAAAUCAUUUCAUCUUCAAAAUAAAUUGAGAAAAGUAAAUAAAAUAUAUAUUUUCUAAGGUAAGCCGGAGUUCGUGCGACCACGCUGCACCCACUACCGCAAUGCGACAAACCAUAAGCCUAAAAUAAAAUAAAAAUCAAAUCUUAAACCGUUGACGACAAUAACAUAUACAUAUCGGACAGCCCACAAAUCCCACGACCACUCCCGACUCACUACUACAGACACACUUUGACACCUAAGCACAUCUCAAUUUACCAAACUACCGCCAUUGCUAAAUAUACGUGCUAAUCACGUGUUUGCUCGCCGGCGCUACCUACCCUCACCAGACACCGUUUAUUCCGGUAGAUCUUAGAAAUUAAAACUAAACAAGAGACUUGUACACUUUAAAGAUCUAAAAAAGGCGGCGGAUCACUCUGAUAAUAUUUCUUCCGGCAAAUUCUUUCAGAAACUAUUGUAGAAGAAGCAAAAAAACAAAUUUCCAGUGAUCCAUCAUGAAUUAAAACAAAUCAAAUUGAAAUGAAACAAAAAAAAAAGGAAAAAAUACACUGAACAACAAAGUGAUAAUAUUAAUACGACGACAAAAAAAAAAUCUUAAAGGGUAAAACGGGAAAUUAGAAAGAAAGAAAAAAACGAGAAGAAGGAAGAUUCUCAUUCAUUCAUUCAGAAGCUUUCUCUGGUUUUCUACAGAGAAUCAUAUGCAUCGGUGAGAAGAUUCCAGUCUCACCACCUCUGGUCAAAUAAUCAGCAGUCUUAAACAACAUCUUAUGAACAUCAACAGUUCCUUUAGGAGCAACACCAAUAGCAGAAAGAAUCACAACCACGACAUGGUUUCUCCAAUAAGCAAGUCUUCCCAUCUUUAACCGGUUCCACCAUGGUUUAGACGGUGGUUUAGCCAAAUCUUUCUCCUUCACAACCUCAAACCCAACUUUCUUUGCCGUUGCUGCAAUAUCUAUGUAGCUUCUUAGUCCAGGAAGUGCGUCUCCUCUCUCAAUCCCUUGAAUCACAUCCUUGUGUUCUUCAUCCUCGUCUCUGUAUUUCUCAGUGGUGACCCACUCGUAGGACACGAACAAAGAUCCUGGUUUCAUCACUCUGAAGAUCUCUGAGUAUACUUCUUCUAGUUUAGGAGCGUGACACGUGGCUUCGAUCGAGUAAGCGCCGUCGAACGUGUUUUCAUCGAACGGCAUCUUUAAAAAGUUACCGCAAACGACGUUGCAAAGAGAAUCAAGUCCAGCUUUCUUGUUGUGAAGCUUGGCUCGUUGCACUUGGUACUCGUUGAUGGUGAUUCCAGUGACUUGGGCCUUUGAAUGGGCUGCGAUGGCUCUCAUCGGCCCACCAACGCCGCAACCAGCGUCGAGGAUCUUUUGUCCAGGUUUCACGUUGAUGAGAUCGACGGCCAUUUCUUCGUGGAUCCUUGUGGCGUCUUUGUGGGAUUUUCCGGGGAUAUGAGGAGAGAAAUGGAAAGAUUGUCCCCAUCCCCACUCGUAGAUAUCGGUGACGAGAUUGUAGAACGUGUCGACGAAGUCAGGAACUUUCUCGGCGGUUUCGAUCUCUUUUGGUCGGCGGAAGAAAGACCAGUAUUGGUUAUAGUUGUCUUUGACGUUCUCGGCGUUGAUUGAGCCGCCGGAGAGAUCUAAGGCUCGUUUACCCUUUCGUUCUGCUGGACCUAAGACACAUAUGAACCAGUAGAGGGCGCCGGCGAUGAGACCGGCGGUGCAGUAGAGAGCCACCGAGUCCAUUUCUUUUUGUUUGAAGAGGGAGAAUGAGAGAAGGCAAAGGACGAGAGAGAGACGUUCAGUUCACGACUCUUGUACAGAGUUAAUGGUUUUUAUCUACAAAGAUGUAUUGUAGGAAUAAAUAAUCCAGUCAAGAAUCUUGCAAUUAAAUAAUCUUUUUUAGCAAGUAAGUAACAGAAAUUUAUGGUCCACACUACUGCCUAUAGAAAUUUAAAAAGGUGACAGAAGGAAAACAAAAUUUUCUUUCACCUAAAGAAUUGCCUUUUACUAUUUGCUUACAUGGGUAUUUUUAAUUAGUUUAAUCUUACUAAUUUUGAAUCGAAAUUAUGACACAACAAAUAUAAUAAUACAACUUAUUUGAUUACUAUUGAUAUGUUAUUUGUUGUAUCUAAUUUGAUAUAGGGUAUCUUACAAUUUUCGUCUUAGAAUAUCUGUUUGGAUGUAUGCUCGCGAGCACAAUUCGUUUAGAAUUGAACUACGUAUAGUUAUAUACUGUACUUUUGUUUUCUUUUUUGUUAGUUUUAAACAUUCAACUUCCAGUAGUAAAAUCAGUAUUUUUUUUGUUUAUUAACGUAGUCGAUACAUCAUAUCGUUAAUGAAUCACACGUAUAUAUCUAUCUUACUUUUUUUUGCGUUUGUAGUUUUCUCGCAUCAGUUAUAAGUUAUAACAAUGACAAACUACAAUUAUUUAUAGAUCCAGAUCUAUAUGACUUGUGAAUAUUUAUGCCAUGAGAUCGUUAUUUGCGAUCUUGUACUUAUAUAUCUGAGGUGUUUUUCUUUUUAUGAUAUCCUUAAUAAGAGUAUCUCCAACCCACCUCUAUAUUUGCCUCUAAACUCUAUUUUAGAGGCAAAAUUGCUCCAAUCCACUUCUAUUCUCACCUCUAAAAUAGAGAUCUUUAUUUUUUUCUCUAUAUAUAGAGGUGAGAAUAGAAUAUCUCUAUUUUUUUUUCUAUAAAUCGAGUUAAACUUUUUAGAGGAAAAAAUAGAGGAACACAUUGGAGUAAAAAUAGAGAAAAGUUAUCUCUAUUAUAAAAAUAGAGUUAAAAAUAGGGAAAUACAUCGGAGAUGGUCUAAGUUCUACAAGCAUUUCAUUUCACUCUUUACACGUUGUAGGGUCAGCCGGUCAGGCCAGCUCCUUAUAAUAUUUUUCUGUGAAGUCACCUAAUUAUUUUCAUAUAUAUCUCUCUCGCUCUCCGUACAACUCAGGAAUUGUUUUUACAAUUUAGUAAUAAGAGUAAAGAGACUGUGUAGUAUUACGAAUCAAAUGAAUUAGGGGGAAAAGAUAGCUAAUGAAAUGGGUACAGGAGUCCUGACGUAAAUUUUUAGUUAUUGUCUCGAAUGGGGUAGGUAGAUAAUCAUCAUAAUUUUCUAUUCCCUAAUGAUAAAGCUCUGAUUACCAAAAAAAAAAAAAAAACACUACAUCGUUUAUACUUUUGCCCAUGAUCCGUGAGUUCAAAACUUUAAUGACUAGUCGGCCUUAGGUAUGUGUCUAGCGAUUAAUCAAAAAAUCAAAUUAAAAUCAGAGAUUAAUUGGGGAUUAGUUUCAGAGUUAUUUUAAUAUUUUAGAAACAUAUUAAUCUAAUAUUAUUUUCAAAAUUACAGUAAAUAUAUUUUGAGACGAAUUUUUAUGAUUUUUAUUAAAAAUUUAUGUUUUUAUUAAAAUUUGAACAUAAGUUAUUGUAAAACAUCACAAACUCGCAAUUCAAAUGAUUGAAUAACAAAAAUAGAAAGUUUUUUUUUAUAUUUGCAAUCUAAAAAUAAUCGAAAUAUGUAAGAUUAGACAGAAUGUAAUCGGAUUAGGUGGAAAGUAAUCGGAUUAGGCGGAGAGUAAUCGGAUAACUAAUUUUUUAGGAGACUAGUCAUUAAUCGAGGCGGAUAUGAUGAGAUUAGCAAUUAAGCGGAGAGUCGGGUUUGACGGAGAUUUUUAGAACGGCCGGUCUCUAGAGUUUCCAAUUAUUGUUUAAAUUAAAAUCAUGGUUUUUGGUAAAUGGGUCGCAUCACAUGACUCAUAUGAUCUCAUAUGAUCAUAUCACAUGACGAUGUGUUAUGCAAUCUGUCUGUAUUUCAACACGAAUCUUUCAUCACUCCAUAUUGCAGCUUGCUUUUUUUAACAUCACUCACGUGCUGUUUUGCUUACACGACAUAAUUAAUGUAUUAAUGAGGACAACUUCGUUAUUGAUUGGUCCAAUUUUAUCAUAUUUUAUGAACCCGAUAUUUAAUUUACUCUAUUCAUUCCAACUGUAGACCAUAAUGCACAAACGACAUCCACUUCCAGCUAUUAUAUUCGACCGGAAACUAUUAGUAAAGCUCGUCGAAAUCAUGAUUUAUACAUUUUAAACAUUAUAUAAAAAUGUUAAGACAUAUAAGAAAGAUUAAACCUUCAAAUAUGUUAAUUAAUCUCAUUGUGCUUUUCUCUAGAACACAAAAUAUGACAACUGUUGCGAGCUUUCUUCGCAUUACUAAUGUAAAUUAUUCAUAUUAAUUAUUUCGGAAUUGCAACUAGACUUGUCAAGAUAUGGGAAUCGAAUUCGACGUGGAAAGUAUUGUAGAUAAGCAAUAUGUGUAUCUUGCGGACCAAGUAAUAUGGACCGUUAAAGUUUAUUAUGAAGUGAAGCCCGUGAAGCCUAAACCGAAGAAUAUUCUAGAUCUUUAUAUUACUUCUUGUACAAGUUAUUUACUUAUAUGUUUAGGAAAGUUUAUAUUAUGUGGGUGUUAACAUUAUGUUAAUGUUAACACUAUAUAUAUGUAUCUUAUAUUUUCAUAUGAGAGACAACUCAAUAAAGUAUUUUAUAGAUUCUAUAAUAUUUGACAUGGUAUCAGAGCAGUCGAUCCUUGUGGAUCUGAAUUAAACGCUUCCGCAUUAAAAAUCUUGUGGUCACAAUAACCAUGGGAUGUGAAGCCAUCGAAGACGGUGGUGACGAAGACGAUCCGGAUGAUGACGUGAAGCAAAGUUUGCUUUGACGUCCACAUGAGAGUUUUAUAUUUCUUUUAUUCUAAGUUAAUGUUUUAGGUUUAUUUUGAGUUUAUGAUUUGGUUUAGCACAAGAAUUAGAGAUCUUUGAGGAAUUAUUAUGUUUUAAGGGUUUGGGAUUUCACAAGUAGUUGUUUAUUUAUGAGAUUUAUUCUUGAGUUUAGAAUAUCUCAUUUUUUUAAUGUGAGUUUUGAUUUCUCAUAUUACGGGGGAGUUUAUUGGAACACUCAUGUUUUAGGCUAUUUUUUAGUCCGGUUUGUGGACUGUUCGAGAUAGGACGAUUAUUUGUGGAGUUGCAGGAUUUGCGCCCACGGAAUAUUGUUAUUCCCUUUUACUAAGAUCAAAGACGAGCUGAAGUUCCAUCCUCUUUUGAAAAUUGAAGUUUAUACCUGAGGAGACUGUUGACAUGAUUUGUCCGUCCUCGACAUGAUGUCCACGACAUAGGUGUUCCGCUUUGUGGUUGCAUAUUUUGCGUUUCGCAUCCCACCUUUGUCGUGCGGGGGAGUAUUAGAGAUAAGCAAGAUGUGUAUCUUGCGGACCAAGUAAUAUGGACCGUUAAAGUCCAUUAUGAAGUGAAGCCCGUGAAGCCUAAACCGAAGAAUAUUCUAGAUCUCUAUAUUACUUCUUGUACAAGUUAUUUACUUAUAUUUUAGGAAAGUUUACAUUAUGUGGGAGUUAACAUUAUGUUAAUGUUAACACUAUAUAUAUGUAUCUUACUAGGAUAUGACCCGCGGUGUACCGCAGGUUAAUUAUUUGAUUUGAUUUUAAUCUUUUUAUAAACUGAUGAAUUUGUUGUAUAUAAUAUUUUUUUGUUGUACACCGCGGGUCACAUGCGUUGUAACUAAAAAUAGAAAUUUUAAAUUGUAUUUGUUUUGUUUAGUGUUUAAAAUUGUAUAAUUGUAUUUUGAUUUGUUAAUCCUACGAUUUCACCCGUGAUAUAUUGUCCCGUAUUAAUAUCAAUCCAAACCCGUCCCACCAUAUAAUCCAUUCCCGUAAAAUUAAACAUCAUUUUGUUAUUUCUUUUAAUAACGCUUUUAUUUAAAAGACAUAUAAUUCAAGUCAAUUUAAAAGUUUGCUUUCAAAUGGUUUCCAUAAUAUAUAUAUAUAUAUAUAUAUAUAUAUAUAUAUAUAUAUAUAUAUAUAUUUAAAUUAGUGUGGGUUUUUGUACCAACCCGUAAAAAUAAUUUAUAAUUGUAUCUUAAAAUACUAAAUAAUUGUAUUUUGAUUUGUUAAUUUUAGGAUUUCAACCAUGGUAUAUUGUUCCCUUUUGGAUAAUUGUAAAAAUUAAGGAAAUAUCCGAAUGACUCAUUUCCGGGACAGAGUAAAAAAAAAAUAUGACCUGAUUAAACGCGCAAAUUUGUUCUUAAAAAAUAUUAAUAUAGAUUGUACACAUACUUUUUUCUUUAUCGAUUGAGUAAUAUAUGUCUGUUUUAAAAAAUUUAAAUCAUAGCGUAUUGCAAAAAAAAAUCGGAAAUCUUAUUAACUAUAUAAAUUUUAUAAUAAUUCAAAAUAAUAUAAAUAUAAGAUCAUAUAAAAGUGAAAUAAGAAUCAUAUAUUUAUGUUUAAAUUAGGUAGAGAAGUUUUAGGAAAUUAGCUCAAAUUUGUUAUAUUAGCAUUAAAUCAUCAUAUUUGAUUUCCUUAUCUAUAAAAAUCAUAGAGAAUAUGCCAUAAAUAAAGAGUUCAUGUAUAGUAAUUAGUUGAAUAUAUAUAUAUUUUUAGAUUUUAUUAAAUAAUUUUGUUUUAAAAUUUUGCCAACAUUUAAGGGAAGAUCCAAUUGAAGAUUUCCGGGUCAAAAUUGAAACAAAAUUCGACCCGAUUAGGAUCCCUUAAAAGUGUUGCAAAAAUGUAUAGUAGAUAUUUUCAUAUGAGAGACAACUCAAUAAAGUAUUUUAUAGAUUCUAUAAUAUUUGACAGAAAGAGAGUUUCGAUUACUUAUCAGCUAUUUAUGAGUGUGCUGAUCUGUGUUGUUUGUUAUUUUCCCUGUUUGGCCUCAAAUUAAUCAAACCAGGCAACCAAAAUAUACAAUUUUUCCCUGCCUGACCCUUGGAUCCAUAUCCAUGAACUUUCUUCAUUUUUGUUAUUUAAAAUCAACAAUGAUUUCAUCACGUGAUAUUCUCUACUUUUCGUGAUUUGUUAAUGCAAUUUUUUGGGGUGGUCACUAAACUUGUUUCUUGUAUUUCCCGAAAAAAACAUGAGCCGUUAGGCCCAUCCGUAAAUAUAGGUGAGCUGGGCCUCUAAAAGACUCUGAUAUUGGGACUAAAGUAACGCAAGAAAACACAACGCGGAGAGACCUAAAACAAAAACUUUAUUCAAACUAAAAGCUCUUUUCACGGACACAAAGAAUGGCCGUGACUUGAAAUGUUCAAAAGAGCCAGUGAAACCACUAACUUACGACAUUAAACAUUAUAUAAUCUUUUUUUAUUAUCCAACACUCUCUUCAAAAUUAGAUUUCUAAAUAAACUUUGAAUAAGCUUUGUACUCGAACAAGAGAGUCUCGAGACAAUUUACUACUUGACGGUGAGUUUCCCGACCAUACCAGCACCCUGGUGCGGCGCACAGUAGAAACUAUAAGAGCCAGGCUCUGUCAAAGUAACCUCGUAACUCUCUCCUGCACCAUUAAGAAGCUCUGUCUCGUCCAUCGAGAUCUUGCUCGUGUCCACACCACUAGGGAUCUCGUCUUCGUCGAACACAACAUUGUGUGGGAACCCUGCGUUGUUCUUGAACACGAUCUUCUCUCCUUUAGCCACUGUGAAUUCAGAUGGUACGAAAACAAGAGAACCAUCGUCGGAUCCUAGAAGAACCUCCAUGGCCAUUGCAUUUCCGGCUAAAACAAUCGAAGCUGCUGUUGCCACGGCGAUGACGCCGAUAUCCUUCAAAGAGGACUUCACAGAGAGCUUAGGUGCCGUCCUGGUGGCGGAGGAGGAUCUUAUGGUGGUGGAUACCGUCGUGGGUUUUGAGCUGACGGCGAGCUUUAGGCCGGUGAAAGAAGGGAUUGUGACGGUAGCUGAUGUAAUUGCGGCCAUUUUCUUUAUUUUUUGGGAUCACUCGUAAUGAAUUGAAAUUUUGUGGGAUUUUUUCCCAAAAGGGGGUUGUGAGGUUUAUUUGGUUAGAUAAAGCGAGAGCGUUAUCUGCAUGGGAUUGCUGUGAUUGGUUAUCCUAGAUGUUAUGCGAGCUGACGUGGCAUUAUUUGAUUGUUUUGAUUAACGUUGCAGAACUAGAUAAGCUUAGGAAGAGACUUUGAAAAUUCCAAGUUUUUAUUCAUAGUUCUUGUGGUGUUUUGUUAGUUUACUAAUCAACGAAUCGAUCGAAUUGAAGAAAAUAUAACCUCAGUAGAAAAUCUAAAAUUCAGAAAAAACAUAAAAAGAGAAAGGAACUGUCCGAUAAAAUCCAAACACACGGCUAAGCCUAGUUUUCACAUGGCCAACUACUACGAUAAGCUAGAAAAAUAAACGGCGAGACGUCCGAUCUUAAAAAAGAGAAACGACCUACAAACAAAUCGACUUAACGCCUAAAAUCACCUAAAACGCCUUGUCGUUUGUCAUGUUACCAUCCCUGAGCCUUAACGUUUCUCUGUACUCAUUCAACUCCCUCUGAUACCUCUCCUUAUCCUUCAAUCCAAUGUCCUGAUAAACCUGCAAACGAUAAACCAACUCGGUUCAGUUAUCGGUUUACUACAAAAUCUAUUUUCAUCUCUUAACCGGUCCCGGUUUAUAAGAUAAUUUGUUACCAUUCGUUCUUCAGUAGAGAGAUUGCUCCACGAUUCGCCGAUAAUUUUCGUAAACUCUCUUUCCUUGUUGGGAUAAAGAGACUUGAGCUUACAAUGCUUCUCUGCAAAGAAGAAAUUGUAACCGCUCCGGUUUGGUUUCGGGUAAUUUGGGUCUUCUCUGCGUCUGCUUCUUCGUCUUUUACCUAAACGACGUCGCCUCCUCCCAGUUUCAACAUAAGGUACAACGGCACCGUUUAGAUCAGCGCUUGGAGAUGAUGAUGGGCCGGGCUGGGCCGAAUGAUAAAGCACGCCGUUAAGAAUUUCUGAGCCCAACUUUACUUUUACCAGAUAACCACAAUCGAAUUUGCCUUCUAUUGUACCAAUGGCUGUGAAACUCGACGAACCUGUGCCAUGUAUUAAAUAUCACAUGUAUCAUAAGCAAAACUUAAAUACAUUAUCUUAUAAAAAUUUCUUGUAUGUGAACCAAAUCGUAUAAGCUUCCGGUUUGGUCCACAUCUUAGGUUUAUUAUCCAACAAAAUCCAAAUAAAUUUGCAUCAAACAUAAUGACAGUGGGACCAUUAUAAUUCUAGUCUAGACUAUAUUUGAAAAGUAUUGAGAUAAACACAAACAAUUUACGAUAAGUACAUAUAGCUAAUGCCCCUAAAUAUAAGUUACACAUAAAUAUAAUCAUUAACUAAUACUUCACAUUUUACCAAAAAAAUAAAAAAUAAUCAUUAACUAAGACCUUAAUCAUACUUUGUCAUAAAAAAUGAUCAUAUAAAACAAAGAAAAAAGAUGAGUAGAUAAUACGUACGAACCUUGAGAAGGAUGAUGAGUAUUAUUAUAUCUUAUACUCGGAGGAGUAUAUUCGACGAGAGCCAUUUCUUUGCUCGUUGAUGGAUUGGCAUGAAAUGUAGCUGCAAAAUUGAUACUUAUAUGUGACAUAAAUAGUCGUCGCCAAAUAAUUUCUAGUUCCAAGAUAUUAACAUAAUUACAAUAACCAUAAAGAUAAAACUGAUAAAUAUAAUCCAGGUAUACAUCUUUACCAGACAAAAAAUUCGGGUAUAUACAAUCGUUGAACUCCCACGUUGUAGUAAGAAUGUGUACCACGAUUUGAACCCAUGUCUUCAUCACAUUUUGGAAUUUCAUUUUUAUUAUUUUAUCCUAGUUUCAAGCCUUUUAGACUAUCCUUAAUGGUUAACAAAGAAUUGAAAUUUCUAGUCUUAGGGCAUUAAAGACAAUAUGGGAAGCAUCUCAUGAUUCAUUGAUUAGCAUUUAUCAAGCGGUUGAAUUAAAGAAUCUCCGUAGAAAUAAAUAUAUGAUAAUUGAAAAAUAUAACCUAUAGGAUUAUAAUGCUUGUGUCCUAUAUAUAUUUAAAACUUAAAAAGUAAUCAAUUGAAGAAGGUUAGAAAAAAAAAAACCUGUGGGAUGAAGAAGUGGACCACGAGCAGUGAAGAGAUGAACUUGUUCGUAAUGGAAGAGAAGAUUGAGAUAAUGUUUCCUUAAGACAAACGAAGCACUUGUUGUUGUCGCAGAGAAUCUAAACACUCCUCCAACUUCCCUCCAUUUUUUCUCUGCGACUACCUUUUAAUUUACAUGCAUUUUCAAAACAAACUCAACAUAUAAGAAUAUGAUAAUAAAUUACCAUAAAGUAAAAAAAAUUGUGUAUUGAAAAAGAAAACAAAAGUGUUGACCUUUUCGUAACCUCCCCUCCUCGUGACUUCCACAUACAAAACAUGCAAAUCCAGUUCUUUUCCUCCAAUCACAGGAAUCCUUGUAUAUAUCAUACAAAAAUAAAUAAAAGAAAUGACGAAAACUAAAUUUAUUAAGUAAGAACAAGAGGAAUAAUGGUUACAUGAACUUAGUGGACAUAAUUGAGUGAAAUCGCCUGAGAGUAUCCCAGAAGACAGAAGAAUCUUUAACGACAACUUCAUGUGAAGCCAAUGGUUCUGGAUACUCUUUAAUCUUCGCCGGAGACGUCGCCGUCAUUUCUACCGUCGCCUGAGACGGUGUCGAUUCGUUGUCCGAUGACAUCGUUAAAGAGAGAAACAAUUAGUAGAGGUUUUUUUGUUGUUGUGAGGGGUUGUGUGUGUUUUUUUUUUUGUCUGGUCUCUCUUUUUUGGUUUUGGUUUAAGGAAAGAAGAGAAAGAUAACGAUUCAAGAUAAGAUUUGUGAUUAAAUCACAAAGAAAUAGAAAUAUGAAAUUUAAUUUUUUUUUUUGCUAAGGAUUUAAAAGUAACGGACGUGAGGAUUUGUCAUUUUCUUUCUUUUUGUGUCUUUAAUAUAUACCACAUAGAUAUAAGGAAAUUUAAAAUUUUAUACUUUGUAGUAAUUGUGUAUAUUUGCUUGCUUUCAAAUUAUUGUUUUUAUUUUCGAGGCGUUUUGAAUGAUGUUGCUUAGUAUUUUGUCUGAUACUACUAAUUACUUUUUUCACAGAUUAUUAAUACUGAUAUUAUUGCACCCCACCUACUUUAGAUUUUAAGCUUACGAGCAGUCGAAAUUAGUCACAUCUGUUUCUUUCCAAUGUAAUCAAUCAAUAAUUAAAAUAUUUGAAAUUUCUUUAGUCUAAUAUGAAAACAUCGAUAAUAUCUAUAUAAAAAAAAGACUGCCUUGCUUUUUUUUGGUUUAUUAGAUUCUUACACUUUUUAGUUUAUUCUUGUACAUGAAAAAAUUAAAGAAUGUGAGACUAAUGUGAGCGAAAAGUUGAGAAUAUGGUAAAACCAAAAAAAAAAAAUGAUAAGAAAAUGAAAUACGAUCUUUACACUUUAUACAAGUAAUGUUUAGGUGAGGAAUUUAAAAAUCGUACGAUCUUUAGAGAUCAAAGAUUUGGGCAUUUAAAAACCUCUGAAAAUUAAAAAUGUGUCACUGUUGAGUAUUGACAUGCAUUGGUAAGCGAAAGUUAAAGUAGUACUUAUUAGUGCAGACGAAGAUAGGAGUCACACCCUAAUACUCAUCGGGUCAAUCGAAGUCUGACAUUUUAUUUACCCUAAAUAACAAUUUAAAAACAAUUUAAAUAGUAAAAACUGAAAAAAAGUUAUGGGCCUUAUGCUUCGGAGAGGUUGACGUGCGAUUAGGGAUUUUAUAUAUGGUUCUGCUCAUAUGUAACGUUACGUCUCUCUGCCUGUAGAUUCGGUUCCACGUUUCUUCCUUAUAAUCAUUUUUCACCGAUUUUUAUUCUACAAACAUUGUUCAAAUAAGAUUCUUCUUCCACAAAGAAAAAAUCUUUUAUACGACGACGACAUUGGAUGAUAACAAAUCAAAGUCAAAAUCAUUGAUUAAAAAGUUAACAAGAAUAGUUAACCAACAUUGAUCAUUGAUUAAAAAAGUUACAAGAAUAGUUAACCAACAUUGUUGAAUGAUAAGAACAAAAACAAUGAUCUUCAAACUAAGCUUCCAUCAUUUUGCUUAGAGACUAUGACUUAUCUUCCUCGUGGUCGGUUUCAUCAACUUUCUUCUGAACAAGAAAUUUGGACUCUGUUAUUAUGUCCAUGACUGCCAAAAUUUAGGUCUGGAUAGUUUCUAUAGUUCAAGGAAUGUAACCAAAGAGCCAUAUUUCCAUAUUUUCGCUCUGUGGCGCAGAUAUGAGAAUAAAUAUGCUUCAAUUUGAAUGCUUCAGCUUCUUCUUUGUAUGCUUCCAUGGACACUUCUUCAUGACUGUCUUCAAAUUUUUUGUUAUAAGACGUGAAGAAGCAUUCGUCGAGGUAGAGUCCAACUUCAGGUGCCAUUGGUACAGUAAUAUUCACAUCCCUGGUUACAUAAUUUCCAAAUUGAGUAUCACAACAAACAAAACUAUAGACAUUGCAAAGCUUUAAACCAAAAAAAAACAAGAAGCUUACUUGCUGAAAGCAGUCUGGAUAAGUGAUUCAGAAGCACAAUUCCUCAUGAUUGCAACAGCAAGACCCAUCAUCUUUCGAAUCUGAUGAAGCAUAAAGCUUUUGCCUAAGACUUCACACUUAAUAAAGUCAAUUCCAUCAAGAUUAAUAACAGUAUUAGCAGUGAAGGAGAUGAUUUGACGAUUCGCAGCCGGAUCAUCUGCUUUUGUUCUUGUAGUGAAGUUAUGGAAAUUAUAUGAUCCAACAUAACAACUUAGUAUUCUAUUGAACCUUUCCUUUUCCUUUUCACCAUAACAAAACUUGCUCUUUGUCUCAGCCAUCACAUUUCCUUCUCCAUUGAUCUUCUCUGUUGAAUUUGUAUUCAAUUUACAACUGUCUUCUUGUAUACUACCUACUUCAACAUCUACUGAGCUUAAGCUAGCUAAAUUAGAACUCAAAGCUUCAAUCUUGACAUCAGUUCUUAAUGCACUAGAGUUGUUCGACAAAAUGUCUGACUGAAAAUCCAAUGAUUUAGUAACAAAGUUGGUACCUUUCCAAUUACCCACAAGACCUGGAAUCUUACGACCUCUCUCUGAGCACUCAAAACACUUAACAUAUUCCUCUCCUGGACCCAAACUAGCCAUUACUGUUUCUCUAUCACGAUGCGAGAUUGGAUCAAGAGCAAACACUGGAAGCAGAUACACAUACCUUCUUCGAUCGCAGAACUUUUUGGAGCUAAACGACGGCGUAACAUGCUUAUACCCGAAGAUCCUAAUCUGAUUAGGGAGAUUUGAAUUGAGACGAUCCACGAAUCCAGGUGGAUCAACGUUGAAUCGACCGGAAACUACUUGUCCCACAGCACUAACUCCUUUAUCCGUCCGUGCCGAUCGUGCGAAAUCGUAUAGUUUUGGCUUGCCUCUAAUGGACUCUGGUACAGCUCCGGCAUGGAACAAAGCUUCUUCUAGCUCACCUUCAAUGGUUUUCGCGCCGGGAUUCUUUUGCAUCCCUUGGUAUCCUACACCGCAAAACGCGAAGAUUAUGGCAACUUUUUGAGGCUCCGUGACACCUCCGCCGCAGGACAUGUCUGUUUCCUCAUCGGUGGUGGUGGUCAACAUUUUGAGCUUCUUCUGAUCUGAUUCUCGAUCAAGAACCUCGAACCGGGGAAAAUCUCUCGGUUUUCAAACUCCUGAGCCUCCAUUAUAGUGGUGUGAGUUCAUCGAACUCUCUAUUUUCCAGCUUUCCUCUGCAACUACGUUAAUGGCUACCGAACAAAAGUCAAAACCCUAGAAGACGACUGAGGUAUGCUUCUAUAUGACACCGUUUCGGUAUCAGACCGCUCUUUAACUGGGCCUCUAAUUUUCUUUUAUAUAUGGGCUUAUUCUAAAGCCCAAAAGUUUCUCUUAUUUAUAUCUUAAGUCAAAUUUGAAAAAGUCAACUAUAUCCAUUGAUCAAACAUCUUUGGAAAUUUGUUCCUGUGGCAAGAAAGCAAGAAAAAUAUAGCCGUUGUUUCUCAUUGAUCUCUAUGUAUGAAAGUAUGUAUGAAAGUACGAAACUUUCAAAUCUCUCCGUUCAGAUAUAGGCAUCGCUCAUGGUACAUACACGCGUCGUAUACUAUUUCAAUUGGAUUAGUCAUGUCAAGUUAUCUACUUUAAUCUAACAGUCAACGCGUGUCUAGAUUUUUCUUUGAGGAGAAUUGAAAAACGCAAACUUUGGCGAAUUAUGAAGCUUCGUUUCUCGAUCGAGUCCAAAAACCCUAAAAGAUUCAACGAAGGGGAAAAAAAGACAUCUCUUUUAUCUCUGAGAUUCUUCGCUCAAGUUGUUUACAGCUUUAUACUUUUUGAAGAAGGUAUUGUAUUCUGUGAUUGGCUCAUCUCUUAAUACCGUAGAAUCGAAUCGUCACUUUGUGUUUUGUGGGUAUACUCCAAUUUGCUCCGUUGCUUCUCUUCCUCUUCUUUGUCACAUUUAUAAAAGGUUUGUUAUUGUGUGGCCGAAAGUUGUUUGACAUUUGAUUCUGAUUCGUUUGGGAUCAGAAACUGUUCAAUCACUUCACGUUCUCUCUUCGUCUCUAUAUAUAUACGCAGGAUUGUUUGAUUAAGGGACUUGUGAUAUAUAGCUUCUUCGUUUCCGUGGUAUUUGAUCUUCUUUUGCUCUUCAAGUUUAAGGUUCUUCUUUUAUAUGUAUGAUCUCGAAUGCUCUGAUUUUAUCUUGUUACAUUGCCUAAUUACUUGGUUAGACUUUAAUCAAAUCUGAAAUUGGAAACAGAGUUUUGCUAUUAUUUCAUUUAUCUGUCCUGAAACAAAUGUUGCUCUUCAGUAAUUUGUUCUCUUAGUGGAAUGUUUGGAAUUUAGAUUCUUUGAUUAUUAGUUUGCUGCUUCACAACACUACUGGUUUGUGUCUCACUACGCAUAUCACUUAUUGUCUGAUCUCUUUGAAAUGGUAUUUAUUAUUCUGGAUGCAGGUAUUUGUUAAAUUCAACCCGUUUCUCGUUGAUCAGUGUUUUCGGUUUUCGGUUUUGCUGAACCUUGUCUCGACAUGGGCUACCAUAACAAUGUAAGUUUUUCCUUUUUGCUCUACCACUUUAUGUUCAAAUUCUUGUUCCAUCUUUCUUUUUUCUAAAGCAUGAAUACUAUUGCAGGUCUUUGAUGAAUGCAACGACCAAACUGAUAUCGGUAAACACAAGAUAUUUAAUAUAGGAUUAAGCCUUGUUCAUGAUUCUUUAGUUUCUUAGUUUUAAAGCUGAACUAUUAAGUCUAUUGGUUUUCUAUAUCAGGUCGGGUUCUACGCGAUGGAAGGGAAGUCAUUCUCCAAGUAAGCUCAUCUUAGUUUUAUAGUGUAACACUUAUAGUUGUGGUUUGACACCUAGUCUUGUAGACCCUAAAAGAAAUUAGGAUUUCUAUUUCAGGCUUAUAACUGGGAGUCUCAUAAACAUGAUUGGUGGAGAAACUUGGACGGAAAAGUUCCUGACAUUGCCAAAUCUGGCUUUACUUCUGCAUGGUUACCACCACCAUCUCAGUCUCUUGCACCAGAAGGUUAGAGGAAAUUGAUUCCAAGACAUAAUGAGCUUUUAUGUAUAUGGGUUUUGAAAUGAUUACUAACUGCGGAAACGGUUUUUACUAUCAUUUCAGGUUACCUUCCACAGGACCUUUAUUCACUAAACUCAGCAUAUGGCUCUGAGCAUCUAUUGAAAUCCUUACUUAGAAAGAUGAAACAAUACAAAGUUAGAGCUAUGGCUGAUAUAGUCAUCAAUCAUCGUGUUGGGACAACGAGAGGACAUGGUGGAAUGUAUAACCGUUAUGAUGGAAUUUCGUUACCGUGGGAUGAACACGCCGUGACUUCUUGUACCGGAGGACUGGUGAGUGAUGAUUAAAUUACAUGUUUGACAUAUCAUUAUGUUCUUAAAGCUCAAGAAAAGGUUUUCUAUUAAAACAGGGUAACCGAAGCACAGGGGAUAAUUUUAACGGAGUUCCAAAUGUUGAUCACACUCAGCAUUUUGUUAGGAAAGAUAUAAUCGGGUGGCUUCGUUGGCUGCGCAACACCGUCGGGUUUCAAGAUUUCCGUUUUGACUUUGCUAGGGGGUAAGUUUUCGCUGAGCUGAUUUGUUUGUUUGCUUGUGGAGUCCUUAAUAUGUGAAAUUUGAAUGUAAUUGAUGCAGUUAUUCAGCAAACUAUGUGAAGGAAUACAUUGGAGCAGCAAAACCGUUAUUCUCGGUUGGAGAAUGUUGGGAUUCUUGCAAUUACAAUGGCCAUGGUCUAGACUAUAAUCAAGGUUUUGUAGCGUUGAAUUGUUUGACAAGUGAUUUUAGUUCCAUGAUUGUAGUGUUAAGUAAUUAUGACACUGGUCUUUUCUACAGAUAGCCAUAGACAGCGUAUAAUUAGUUGGAUCGAUGCCACGGGACAGAUCUCUGCUGCAUUUGACUUCACAACUAAAGGAAUUCUGCAGGUAAGUAGAUUUUUUAAGACCUCUGAAAUUCAUAGAGUUUUGCUUACAAAAUGUCACCAUUGUAUUGAAACACAAAUGUUUUUUAUUAUAACAGGAAGCCGUAAAGGGUCAGUAUUGGCGUUUAUGUGAUGCCCAAGGGAAGCCACCUGGUGUAAUGGGAUGGUGGCCUUCAAGAGCUGUCACGUUCCUUGAUAACCAUGACACUGGCUCUACUCAGGUUACUUAACAAUUUCUUCUGUGAUCAUUUUCUUUUAGCCUUCAUAUGUUUGCUUACUUUUUUUGUUGCUCUCAUAGGCUCAUUGGCCGUUCCCUUCACACCACAUUAUGGAGGUAAAGAAGCUCUCUAAACAAAAUUCAGUCCAUUUUCUUGCAUUUUAAGUCUCUCCCUAAUCAAAGAAGAUCGGUUUCGUGUUUUUGUAGGGCUAUGCAUAUAUACUUACUCAUCCCGGCAUUCCCUGUGUGUUCUACGAUCAUUUUUACGACUGGGGAAGCUCGAUUCAUGACCAGAUUGUCAAACUGGUAUUUUUGUUCACUUCAAUCUCUCUGCUUAUCAUUGGAUCCAUGGUCUAACAUUUUCUAUAUCUUCUAAGACCUGUCCUCUGUUUUUUUUCCUUAUGAAUCAUUUUGACAGAUUGACAUUAGGAGGCGACAAGAUAUCCACAGUAGGUCAACGAUCCGCGUUUUAAAAGCAGAAUCGAACUUAUAUGCAGCCAUUGUUGGUGAAAAACUGUGCAUGAAGCUUGGAGACGGCUCUUGGUGCCCUUCUGGUGGAGACUGGACUCUAGCAACAAGUGGCCAUCGCUAUGCCGUCUGGCACAAGUAAAUCUUUUUAUGUCUAAUCUAUCUUCCUAAACAAACCUUCCUAUUGAUCAAAAAAGGUUCUGGUCUUCAGAGUCCAGAGAUAUAUGUAAUUCAUUGUCUUACAAUAAUGUCAUGCCCUUACGUCUUCAUGACGUAAGAUUUUAUAAGAGAAAUUUAUAUGCAAGUGAAAAAUUUGCAUUGUGUGAAUUUUUUGUUAACAUAUGAUAUAAAAAAUAAAUUGGAUGCCUAGUGAGAAAGAGAAAUGGAGACUAUAGGAAAAAAGGGUUUUGUGCUUUUCUAUGAGAAGUAAGUUGACUUGUGCUAUGUUUCAAAAGUUAAGUAUUCAGAUUACAAGAUAGAAACCAUAUGAUUUUAAAAUAAUUUGUGCAAAGCAGAUGAUAAUGGACAUUUGCUAGGUUUGUUGGUAGGAUAAAUUGAUACUUACCAUUAAAAAAAUCUCAUUAAUUUAAAGCAUGGUCUAUGAAACUCAAGUUUAGCUAUUAUUCCUUGGUCAAAAGACUCAAAAACAUGGGUGUGUAUAUACAUAUAUUCGUCCUAAAGGAUACACGAGGAAACUUAUAAAAAUACGUGAGGUAUUAUUGGUGGCCACUAGACUAGGACUAGACGAGCAGAGAGAUCUUUAUAAAGUAGAUGAUGUGUUUUGUUUGUGUAUAUUAUAUGGUCAUACGACUUCAUGAUUCUUGUUUUGAAAACUUAACAACAAAAGCCCAAUACCCAUUUUUACUAACACACUCUUUUCCAUCUAAUUUUCCAUUUGACUAGUUUUGUUACUUUGUAUGGUGCUUUAAUCCUUGUAUAUAUUUUUUGGGAACUGCAUAAAGAACAAAAUCGAAUCAAUCAUGAACACCUUCUGGCUUCACGUGAACAUGUUGUGCUAAAAAGAUCUUCUGUUCAUAGAAGCUCUCUUAGAGCAACCCCAAUGGGGAUAUUUUAGUGGGUUUCUCUGAUUUUAAAUAAUAAAAAGUAAUAGAUAUGGAUGAAAGAGAAAGAGACAAAAUUCUAAAACAAGGAUUUUUGGAAAGAGGUUGAGAAACUCAAGAGACAGAUGACAUGAUAUAACUUGUCAAUUUUGUUAUUUAUGAUCAAAAAUAUAUAAUAAUAAAUUAAUUAUAUUAAAAUAAUUAAAAUAUUGUUUUUAAGAAACUGAUAAGGAUUUUGAACGUUGGGGUUGCUCUUAGAUCUUUCCUGUUUUUAAACUAUACUCCCUCAGUUUUAUAAUAUAAGUCGUUUUGGAGAAAAAUUUUUGUUUCAUAAUGUAUGUCGUUUUCAAGUUUCAAUGCACUUUAUAUAUUACUUUAAUAUUUAUAAUUAUUUAUAUUAUACAGUUUCUUUUAUGAUUGGUCGAACUUUUUAAAAAUAGAUCUUUUUAAUCUACGUGUUUAAAGUUAAAACGAUUUAUAUAAUGAAACAGAGGAAAUACUAUUGUUUACUUCUGAAUUUUUUAAUGGUCAUGGCGCUACAAGAUGCAUUGCUGGCUAAUUGGAUAUCUGGACUGUAUUCUUUUUUCACCAAUAUUUUGCUUUCAGAAAAAGCCCACGGAGAAUAUAAGUACAGACCGUAAUGACUAUAUAUAACAUAAAUGUCCAAAUAUGAAAAAAUUAUGAAUAUAUGUGAAACCUAAUAAAAGGAAAUUAAAGAAAAUUAAUGAUGAUCUCAUGAGAAAUUAAUACAGUUAAUCCGGAGAAAAUGAUGGUGAUGAUGAGCAUGAGGGAGAGAGAAUGUCCCGCAUGCAUAUUGCAUAAGAAAAAAAGUGAAAAAGGGAAUGGGAACAAACUUGGCUAAAACGGUGAUUAAGGAUUUUCCGGGGUUAACUCUGUUUCCGCUGACUCUUUUAUUACUACAAUUACACAUGUUGCUAAUUUAACGUCUCACUCUUGUUUAAAAAUUCUCAAUUCUAAAAAAAAACUGGAACGUAGCAUAGCAGUAGCACAUUGCUUUCUUUCUUUUUGGUCAAUAGUACCACAUUGCAUUUUUUUUUUCUUUUUUGUCUUAGCCUACAUUCCAAAAAUCAAAUCCUGCAAAAAUUUCUACAGUUAUAGUCAAAAUAAAUUUGUCUUAUUAUUAUUUUCUAAAAAUUAAAUACAACAUUUUAUGCUGUGUUUCAAAAUAUUCGUACAAUUAUUCAUAUAAAAAAACAUUACUGUAUUACUUAAGCUUACAAUUCUAAUACAAGUCAAGUCCGAUAUUUUUAGGGCAUUUGUGUCGUCUUCAUUGAUGCAUUCGGUUCGUCUUUUAUGACUAUAUAUAGGUGUGAAACUGUGAAAUUAAUGGUAAACUUUCCUUAACAUAUAUAAACGCAUUGACUUAAAAUAGAGUUCUAUAGUUCAAUAAAAAGAUAUUUAGAUACAGAUAUAUAUAAAAUCAGAUUCUAGUAUCACGAAGAACAUAUAACCCAAAAACAAAAGUAAUUCGGGGAGGAAUGAUUAUUUCUGAAAAUACUGAUACGACACUAACCAAAGCAAAGAUGUGGUGUUAUGUGUGAUUGUGUGUAUAUAUAUCGACGGUUGCUGCUCUUUCUGUAUAAAAGUCACUACUCGCAAUUAUAGUUUACCAAUUAUCCCUGCAUUUUCUUUUUACUUUUGUUGCCUUUUUUGAAACCUCUGCAUAGUUUAAUUAGAGAAAAUACAUUUGAAAGUACAUUAUAUUUUGUUAAUAAUAAUGAAAAUUGGCAUUAUAUAACCAAAUACGAUUAUCAGUUUUGGCAAUCAUGCGGUGGGGUAAAAAGCAUUUGUCCAUGCAUCGAGCUCUGCGUUAAACGAAUGAUAUAAACAUGCUCCUACAACUAUUUAUCUAUUUUUAAACCUAAAUGUUAAACAAAUGAAUCAAUGUCAUCAUCAAACAAAUUAAAAGCCACAUAGUAUAUAUAUGUAAGUGUUUUUCGUUUGAAUAUUUUUAGACAUUAUGAUAGUCAUUAAUUAACCUUGAGAAAGAAAAAAGAAAUGAAAAAUCUUUUAACCAAAAAGAAAAGAAAAUGUCCGGAAGAUGGAAUGCAGAAAAAAAGCCUUUAUAAAAGCGAACCAAAAGUGUUGACCUUUUUUACAGUCGAGUUCUCAUUUUCAUGCCUCAAAUCUAAAAACAAAUGGCAUGAAUAACAUUUUUCAAUAAUUCUGUGUAUCACUAAUGGACGGCAUUACAAAAUACCGCCAUAGUAUGACAUUACGUCAAAAAAGAAAACUCGAUAUCAUAUUCAUAUUUGUAUAUACAUAUUCUCUUAUAAUCUUUCUAAAACAUAUGAAGACAUGUGUUUAAAUCGAUAGCAUGGUGUUCUGGAAAGUAAAAUUUGAAGCCAUUUCUUAAAUGACUCAAUCAUACCACUGACAUUUUCAUUAUGCGACAAACCCGUCGUUUUUUAGUUUUUUUUUUUUUUUUUUAAACAUCUAGUUUUUUAGUUAUUUUCAUAGUCAAUAACAAUUAAUUAGAUUUAGACUAAGAAUCGAUUGUUAGAUGACAAAAAUCGUGCAUUACUUUUUUUUCCAAGAUAUACGAAUUUAAACAACAACAAAAGCAGUAAACACUAAACACGAAACCUAUUUUGUCAACCCGGUUGUUCCGGCGUAUCUUCUAUAGUAAAUACUCCAUUUGUUUAAUUCCUGACCAUAAAUUUGUUUAGGAAAUAUUAGACCAUGGGCUAAACCUUUUACAAGGGUGUGAGUAAUAAAAAAUAUGAAAAUAAGAGAAUAGUCACCGUGAAUUUUACACUUAUGUGUGAGUUUACACUCGAGUGUGACUUUUUUUCCUCAGUAUUUCUCUUCUUUCUUCUUUCUCUUCUCUCUCUUAAAUACAUUUUAUUAAUAAAAAAAUUUCUAACACUCUUCUCAAAAGUUUGCCAAUGUGUAUGAUCUAAGCUUUAUUGUACAAAAUAUAAGCAUCAUUGACCUUAAUAAAGCCAACAAAAAUAAGUCCAAAAUAUAUAUAUAUAUAUAUAUAUAUAUAUAUAUAUAUAUAUAAGCAUCAUUAAGUUUUUUUUUUUUAAGUUUCAAAUUUUUUUGAGGUGUAAGAAUUUAAUGGAGAUAAAGUUGGAUGGGGGUGGUAGAUUUUGAGGCAAUAAAUAGUGGGGAGAAUUAUGAGUUGUUGCAAUUAAUGCACGCAAGGCAUGCAUUUGUUUUCUCAUCCACACUACUAAUAAUAAGUCCAUUUUUUUGUUGGAGUAUGUUCCAUUUAUAAGAAAAUGAAAAUACUACCACUGAAUCAAAAUAACAAGAGAAAAUAAGUAUGAGUAUUUUUUUUUUUAGAAGAAUAAAGUAUGAGACUAUGAGUAUGCCAAAACAAAUUGUCACAAAGAAUAAAUGAGACUUUGCAGAUUGUGGGAGUGAUGAGUGCGACCUAUCAGUCGACAGAAGGGAAAUAUGAUUCUAUUAUAUAUUAUAAAAUGAUGUCACUUCAUUUGUAUAUUUUCGUCAUUUAAAGUAAGAAAACAAAAAAGGGAUUGACCUUCUUCUUGAAUAUACGUCGAUUUUUUUUUUUGGUUUAGUGUAAAGAUUAUACCAAACAAAAAAGAUUUUUAGUGUAUCAUGGCUAAUUACUAUAGGUCAAAAGCUUGUUAUAAUCUGUAUUAAAAAAUUUAUGUUAUACUACAUGAGCCUAGGAUUCUGCAAUCCACUCCAUGGUGGAGUUUAAAUGGACCCAUCAAUUGGAAGUUGCCUCACACGAACUGAAGUCAGAAAUUGUUAAUUUUUACAUGAUUCUCAAUGAUAUAAUAUGGGCUUACGGAGUACUACAUUGAAAACAAAUACUAUAACUCUUUACGUAUUUCUUAAUUUCUUUAUACGUCCUGUUUUAAUGAUAUAUUUCAAAAUGUUUUAAUUUAAAAGUCACAAACAGAUAAACUCGUGUCUUCUGAGGAAAAGAACUUCGAACGUUUGAUCAAAAUAUAAUAAAUUAUUGUUAUGGGUGAGUUAGCAAAUGUGGAUUCUGAUUAAUAAAUCUAAAGUUGUUCUGCAAUUAAUUCUCUAUUUAAUUCGAUUGUUGUAUCCUAUAAAUUCAUGAUUUGUGACUUCUUAAGGUAAAAUCUCUUGUAAAUUUUAAAAUCUUUGGUUUUCUAUAUAUAUAUAUAUAUAUAUAUAUAUAUGUUUUCUCAUUAAUAAUUUGGUUUUUCAUAAAUCUACUAUAACUUUUAUAAUUUUGAGCAAAUUUCAAUAGCGUUAUUAAAGCAUAGUCAAGUAAAAAUAUGGUGCCGUCUAGGUUGUGGUCCGGAAAAAAAGUUGAGAAAAAAAGGAAAACGAACGGUAUGUCGUAGACGUAAAGGAGAACCCCGUUGAAUUUCCUUUUGACAUUUUUUUUUUUGAAGCUAGAAGCAGAGAAAACAAAAAAAUCCCUAGAAAAUUUAUUGGGUUUCGCUUAUAUCAUUAGGACUUUGGAAAAGUAAGAAUUUUAUUGAGAGAGAAGAAAGAUUGCGUUAUCCUUUAAUCCCCUAUUAUUUACUUGUUUUCCCGAGAACACUCAUUGAGUUUCUUCUAUUUUCAUUGUUUCUUCCACGUUUUCUCCAGUCUCUCUUUCUUCACUGUUUUUCUGUUCAUAGUUGUUAGAUCUUAUGUCUUUUCAAAUCCGAAUCUUAAACUUGAUCUCUUCUCUCAUUUGAUUAAACCCAUCCAGCAAAAAUUCCACCUCUCGAGACACGAUUGUUGUUCGAUCUUCUCCGUAGCUUUGUGACAACAGAAUCUAGGGUUUCGUUUUUUUAUUUUUUGUAUUUUUCUUUUAUUCUUUUAUUUAAGUCUUGGUUCAUAAAUUUUCCUGCUACAAACAACAACUGUACAUCACCAUCAUUAAGAGAAACCCAUCUGCCUCUUUCUCAAUCUCAUAAAUAUUCUCACCGUUCGCUUCUCAUCUAAAUGUUCUCUCUGUAGCUUUUCUCUCUACAGAUAACCCUUUUUGCUCCUUAAUGUGUGAGUACCUCUCAAUAUUACAUUCGACAGAAAGGAAAUGAGUGAAGUUUUUGGGAUCUUUAAUCUUUUUUGAUCAUGCGGGUUUGACAAAAGAGUCUCUUACAGAGAUCUUUGGCAUUCUGUCCACCUCCUCUCUCUAUAUGUAUAUGUAUGAGCGCUGUCUUGUGAGGGGAGGUGGACAUAUUGCCAACAGAGAUCUGUUAGGGUUUCUUUGUAAAACCCCUCAUGAUUUGAUAUUUUCAAGAUAUGAGACGUUGGCUCUUGGUGAUCAAGAUUAUUUGUUGAAUUCUAAGAUCUAAUUCUGAAGAAAACCGGGUAUUAUCUCAAAUCUACUCUCAUUUUUUUUUUUAAUAUGUGUGAUCAUUACUUGUUCUUGAUUAAGUCAAUUUCAUUUGUCAUUUGCUAUCUCCUUUGAUUUAUCUCUUAAAGGUUUUAUGCUUUCUUUGAUCGAGACUCUAAUCCGAUGGUGGUUUCAAAGAUGGAUCACAUUCACAUUUGAUUGUAAGAAGUUCUCAACAUCUUUUAAUUUGCAACGGCGUUGACAAAUGUGAGAUUUCAGAGUGGUGGCGUUUGAGACGUUUACAUCAUCUAGGAAAGGUAAAUUAUGCAUAAAGAAAGAGGACCCAUUACUCCAUAUAAAGGCACAGGUAAAUUGAAAUCAUAGGAGAAUAUGGUAAUGAAAAGGAGAAUUUACUCUUCCCUUUUUCUUUUUUUUUAAUAACUUACUCUUCCCUUUCUAUGUUUGUGAAGCCCACACAAUGUUAUUUAUUAUGAUGUCUUGUUUUCUUUUAAGUUGGAAUCUAUAUAUAUAGGCUAUUAGCAAGUGAUUUUUUUUUUGUUUAUAUAUUAUCUGAUGAGAUUUGUUUAAUCUGAUAAAUGGUUGGAGAAAUAUCAAGUUCAAUCUUAAAGUAGAUGUAGUAUUUUCUUAGGCUUUAUUAUGAUGUUUCUUUUGUUAAAGUCGGAUUGUGUAUAUAUAAUAAUAUAUACUCAUGUAUAGUCGCAUGUUUCUAUAUGAUGUCUUGAUGUAUGCAUGUAUUCUAACUUCAGGACUUUCAAUUGAGGUAUGAAUGCCGAGAUAUGACGAUUCCGACAAUGUUGUGUUUCUUUAUGUUGAUUUUUGAUUAAUUAGGUUUUAGAUGGUACCAAAAUGAUUUGCAACUUUUCUUGUAUUUUGAUUAACUAAGAAACUAGCUGUUAUUUUAUGGGGGAAAAUGGAAAGCAAAAUCAAGUUUACAAUAGGACUUUUGUCAGUGCUCUUACUAUUGUUACGAUUAUUAGAAUUUAAGGGGUUUUUUUUCCCGGUUAAACAAGGAUUUUAACGUUGAGAAAGUAACCAUUGUAUAAUGCUCGACGUCUUUAAUGUGCCUAUAGUAUAGUUCUACGGAUUUAAAUAAUAUGAAAAAUUACAGUGCUCUACGUCAAAGAAAAAAUAAAAGAAAAUAAGAAUUCAACUUGAACUUUCCCUAGUAACCUCAUCAUUGGAAGUGUGUCAGUAGCAUUUAAAUUAUCCUUUCAAGGCAAAUCUCCAAACGCGAUUUAAUUAUGCGCGUGACUCCCAAAUUUCCGUUCUCGUUUAUGUAGGUCAAAGUUGCUUUACCUUGUAAUUUUUUUUGUUCGGUCAAUUCACAAAAACUCCUGUAAUUAUGUUUCCGUAGUGUAGCGCAUGAUUAUUAUUCUGCGUAAUACAGACUCUUAAAGAAAACAAAUGCAGUAGUCCAAAACCUACUUUCUAGAAUAAAAAAGAAAAAAUGUUCUUUUGUUUCCUCCUAAACGGUGAAAAGAAUCUGUCGCAAUUGUUUACAUUUAUGGAAAGUUUGACUCGUGAAGAAAACGAGAGCUUAUUGGGCUUUAUGUUGGGCUCAAGUUUAUUCAGCAGGUCUAGACUUCAUAAUUAUAUUAUAAAGUUUCAGCCCAAAAGGCUUUAAACUUGGUAUAAAAUGCUAUGCAAUUUUUUUUAAUUUUUUUUUUGCUAAAUAUGUUAAUAUUAUUAUAAAUUAAAAUUAGACUUUACAAAAGAGUAGUACCUACCUAAAGAGUAGCCAAAGCAAAAAGAAUAAAAACAAUGCUGCAAUAGAAUUGGGAAAUAUUUGAGGUGAUUAGCGAAUCCAUAGGAGCAUUAGCCUUUGCCAACGCUUUCGAUUUCGUCUAGAAGAGAUUACGUUGCGAAGUUGACGAUCAACCAAUUUGAAGAUAACAAGGGGGGGGGGGGGGGACAAACCAAUUGAGUUGUGCAAAACAUUAUUCCGUUGUCACCAAAUGUUAUAAAUCACUGCUGCUUGAGCUAUUAUUUUCAGUAGAAGAUCAGGAGCUAUGCAAUUAUGCAUAAUUUUUGCAUACUAUAAUCAAUAAUCAUAUGUUAAAACAUAUGAAUUAGUAGCUGAUCAAGAUGUUUUCUUAAGUGAAAAACCUAAUAUAUAUAUAGUUGGCACUUGGCAGUGGAUAUAAAAUUUUGAAAAGUCUACCAAUCAGUCAAUCACAGGUAUCUUAGUCAAGUUGAUUAAAUAAAUAAAAAAGACACAUACAAAUAUAUUUUUGAAUGAGAGAACAUAAUUGAUUAAAUUUUGGUACCAUAUCCAUAAGUACUCGAUAGAACGACGAAACCAUGUUGACGACAUAUUAUCGAUAAUCUCGGAGAAGAAGAAGGAGAGGUAGAGAGAAAAACCGAUGCUCACAGCGUUUGCAAGUCACGCGCGUUCUCACGUUUUCGCGUUUGUUACCGUCCCAACAAUCACGCGCCGCCUCCGUAUAAAUACAUUACGCCAAUCAUCUCUCUCCUCUUUUCUUCUCCUAAACGAAACCUUCUCCAAUCGACCCAAUUCUGUUUCUCGUUGUUUUUGUUGUUCGAGCUCUGCGAUUAUGGGAUCUUCUUCGGUGUUAGGCGAGCGAUUACAUUACCCUGCGACUCGGCGUGGUGAUUCCGUCGUCGAUAACUAUCACGGCGUUAAGAUCGGAGAUCCGUACCGUUGGUAAGAGCUCGUUUCCAGCUGCAAUUUCUCUCUUGCGUUUAGGUUUUUGUAAUGGUUCAAAUGGGAUUUGAAUUUUCUGCAUAUCGCUCUCUGAGGAAUAAGCAGACAUUGGAUUUGACUUGGCGAUUGACCUGAAGAUUAAUUCCUUAAUUGUUGGAGAUUUUGUGUGAUUUGUUCAUUUUUGUUAUGCUUUUGCGUUGAAUUUGUCAUUCUGGAUUGUUUUUUUGAUAGGUUAGAGGAUCCUGAUGCUGAAGAAGUAAAGGAGUUUGUGCAGAACCAAGUGAAAUUGACAGAUUCUGUGCUUGAAAAGUGCGAAACCAAGGAGAAGCUCCGUCAGAAUAUAACGAAACUUAUUGAUCAUCCGCGUUACGAUUCUCCGUUCAGGCAAGGGGAUAAGUACUUUUACUUCCAUAACACCGGUCUACAGGCCCAAAGUGUGCUUUAUAUGCAGGUAUUUGUUGAGAGCCAUGGCUUUCGUAUCAGUACAUACAUGCAUUUUCUAGCGUUGUUUACUCAUUGAAUUUUGUUGCAUUCGGGUUCAGGAUGAUCUGGAUGCUGAGCCAGAGGUUUUGCUUGAUCCAAACACUCUUAGUGAUGAUGGAACUGUGGCCUUAAACACCUUUUCUGUCAGCGAGGAUGCUAAGUACUUGGCCUAUGGUCUUAGUUCAAGUGGUAGCGACUGGGUGACCAUUAAGCUGAUGAAUAUCGAGGAUAAGAAAGUGGAGCCUGAUGUUUUAUCAUGGGUAUGGUCUUUAAGAUGGUACUGAUUAGUGGGGUUGAUCAAUAAACUUCUACCGUCAAGAUUUCUGAUAUAUUUAUGAUCCUCUCGUGGAACAGGUUAAGUUUACUGGCAUUACAUGGACGCACGACAGUAAAGGAUUUUUCUAUGGUCGCUACCCAGCUCCCAAGUAAGUACAAGAUGUGUUGGUAGAAGCCUUUCAAUAUAGUUAAGAUAGCUAAGUUACUCUAACAAUUUUAUUUGUCUUUUGCAGAGAAGGAGAGGAUAUUGAUGCUGGCACUGAGACGAAUUCUAACCUUUAUCAUGAGCUGUAUUACCAUUUCCUUGGGACGGAUCAAUCUCAAGAUAUCUUAUGCUGGAGAGAUCAUGAGAAUCCCAAAUAUAUGUUCGGAGCUGAAGUCACUGACGAUGGGAAGGUAACACUGGGUUCUUUUAACUUUGAUUACGCUCUUAAUCCUCAAUUUUUUUUUUCUGUAAAUACUGUCGGAAAAUCAUUUUGAUCCUUUCCCUUUUUCUAAAUGAUGGGCAUGACUUCAAACUGUUUUACCUAGUUUUGUAGACUGAAACUUGGAUUCUUAGUUUUAGGUCUAAUCUCAUAAUGUUGUUUCUUCUUGCAGUAUCUGUUCAUGAGCAUUGGAGAGAGUUGUGACCCAGUCAACAAAUUAUACUACUGCGAUAUGACUUCAUUUUCGGGAGGUCUUGAGAGUUUCAGAGGAAGCAGCAGUUUUCUUCCAUUCAUUAAGCUUGUUGACACGUUUGACGCUCAAUAUAGUGUUAUCUCAAAUGAUGAGACUCUGUUUACUUUCUUGACAAAUAAAGAUGCCCCUAAGUACAAAUUAGUCCUGGUUGAUCUAAAGGAACCAAACAGUUGGACUGAUGUUGUUGAAGAACACGAGAAGGAUGUCUUAGCAUCAGCUUGUGCAGUCAAUGGGAAUCAUCUGGUCGCAUGCUACAUGAGCGAUGUAAAGCAUAUUCUGCAAAUUAGGGACUUGAAAUCUGGUUCAUUGCUUCACCAGUUACCUCUAGAUAUUGGUUCAGUAUCUGAUGUUUCUGCUCGGCGCAAGGACAAUACCUUUUUCUUUAGCUUUACUAGCUUCCUCACUCCUGGUGUGAUUUACAAGUGUGACUUAGCCAAUGAAUCUCCAGAAGUUAAGGUAUUCCGGGAGGUUACUGUACCCGGAUUUGACAGGGAAGCAUUUCAAGCCAUUCAGGUUACACACUCUCUUGUAGUGGAUAUUCCUGUCUCUUUCAUAAUUUACUUUUACUUUGCAUAUGUUAAAGUCUCUUCUGCUCCUCUUUAUAGGUCUUCUAUCCCAGCAAAGAUGGAACAAAGAUACCAAUGUUUAUUGUGGCGAAAAAGGAUAUUAAGCUUGAUGGAUCACACCCAUGUUUGCUCUAUGCAUAUGGCGGGUUUAACAUAAGCAUAACACCGUCUUUCAGUGCCAGCCGCAUUGUGCUUAGCAAGCAUCUCGGUGUUGUUUUCUGCGUUGCAAAUAUUCGGGGUGGUGGGGAGUAUGGUGAGGAAUGGCACAAAGCAGGUUCACUUGCCAAAAAGCAGAACUGUUUCGAUGACUUUAUUUCUGGGGCAGAGUAUCUCGUGUCCGCUGGUUAUACACAACCGAGCAAGCUGUGUAUUGAAGGUGGCAGCAAUGGUGGACUCCUAAUCGGUGCUUGCAUAAAUCAGGCAAGUCUGUGUAUAUUUAUAAAGCUAAUUGCAAAUUUCAUUUCAAUUAGUUGCCACACUUAUUCAUAAAAUUUUCAAUUCUGCUGCACAGAGGCCAGACCUUUUUGGGUGUGCUUUAGCUCAUGUGGGCGUCAUGGACAUGCUACGGUUUCACAAGUUCACUAUAGGUGAGUGAGUUCAGUUAUCUGCAAUUUUUUCGUUUGUUUGUUUUUUUUUUUUUUGCAUAAUGUAUAUAUAGUUGAGGUGUUACGUAUGUAUAGGUCAUGCCUGGACAUCUGAUUAUGGUUGCUCCGAGAAUGAAGAGGAGUUUCAUUGGCUGAUAAAGUAAGUAUAUUAACGUAUGAUAUGAUGUUGUAUUGAUUUGUUUCCCAAUGCUGAUACAAAGUUAAAAUCUGGGUGUGAAUGUAAAAAGGUACUCGCCUCUGCACAAUGUGAAGAGGCCAUGGGAGCAACAAACCGAUCAAUUCAUUCAGUAUCCAUCAACCAUGCUAUUGACUGCUGAUCACGAUGACAGAGUUGUGCCACUUCACUCUUUGAAGUUGCUUGCGGUCUGUUUCCAGACUUUAUUUCUUUAAUGUUAAUUUAUUUUUAAUCUUACCUUAAGUAGCCAGCAGAUUGUUCAAACUCGUACACAUUUGCAGACGUUGCAGCACGUGCUGUGCACAAGCUUAGAGAAUAGUCCUCAGACGAACCCCAUAAUUGGUCGUAUUGAAGUAAAGGCUGGCCAUGGUGCCGGUCGCCCAACCCAAAAGAUGGUAAUGAAAAAAAUCUAUCGUUUCUUAGGUUUUACAUUAUAUAUAACAUACAUUUUCCCAUGGUUAACUGAUAUUGAGAUGUUCAUCAGAUUGAUGAAGCUGCUGAUCGGUAUUCGUUCAUGGCAAAGAUGGUGAAUGCUGCAUGGACGGAGUAAAACAAUUCCUUUACCUACAGGCACCAAAUAUCUUUUCUCAAUUGUUCUGUCCAAAAAAGGACCUUGUAUGAGUUAGUGACAGUUACAUAUAAACACAGGCUUGGGACACAUUUUUCAGUUUUUAAUUGACACCCAAAAAGGAUUUUGUUCAAUGAAUUUUGCUUUAUCCUAUACGCAUUUUGCGUCCCUCUACAACACAUAACGAUACAACUAACCAAUUCAGGAAAUUGUGACGGCCAUCAAAAAGAAAAUAAGACAAAGCAAAUGUGAAAAGAAAUACCUCUUUCCAAAGAAAUUUCAGCCAGCGAACAGAGUAUAUCAAAUUUUUCCAUUGUAUCAGUAGGCUGUUUGUCAGUAAUAGCCAUUGCAAUGUCCAGCAUUUUCCAGGCCAUAUUCAAAUCAGACUCAUCUUCAUCAGCAUCAGCAUCAGAUAGGUCAUCAUCAUGACAAUCUUCACCAUCCUCUCCUUGGUCUUUACCACCAGAACCUAUGCAUGAGGGAAAAAGAGAAGUCAGCAAAACAAAGAAGCAGAAGCAUCAACACCCAUGAGCUUAAACAAGAACAAUUCCCAAUUUUCAGUACCUUCUUGCCCACGUGAACUCCCUUGUCUCUCUGGGUUACUAGAAACAACAGAUGGAGCCAAAGAUUCACCAUUGCUGGACUCCUGCUGAACUUCGCCUUCUUUCUUGGGUAUGUUACCAAGUGGAUCAGCUUCAGCUUGAGCCUUUCCAGGAGAGCUGUUCCAUAUCGAUAGCUCAGCAUCAAGUUCACCAUAAUGUGCAACCCUAAACCAUGUCAAUUAAAAACAAGCAAUGUUUCUUUAGAUCCUUUGCUAAAAGGAACAGAAUUCAGUUGAGUGAACACACAAUUGAAUCUCAACCAAAAACCCAGAACCAUGAUUAGAUCGUUCGAGCCCCAUAAGGUAAAUCAGAAACAUUUGAAACCCUAAACCCUUGAUUUCGAGGAAGACUUGUAUCGUCGUAAAACCCUCUCUUCGCUUUUUUGGCGGAAUGGAACCCAAAAAUUAAAGAAUUUGGGGAGAAAAUUAAUUUUCAUUUUUAAUUAAAUAAUUCACGGAAAAUAGACCAAUAAAAAUGCGUACGUUAUGGAGUCUAGCUAACCUUCUGCGCUAGACUCCAUAACGUAAAUCGUUUAAUUUUCAAACUUAAAUGUUAAAUUAAGUAAAUAUUUAAGUAAGGGUUUUUAAUUUAAUUUAGAGAAAUUGUUAAAAAUGCCCAUUUUUCAAUACCCCUUUUCAAAAAUGUCCCCUUUGAGAGUUCAUUUUUAAGUUUGCCCUCUUUUAAUUUUUAAUGACCAUUUACCCUUAUUUGAAACAAAAUUAGAUCCACAAAAUACAAAAUAUUUUUUGGCGGGAUAAGUGAUCCCGCAAUUUUCCCGCCAAAACACUUGUAGAAACCUUUAAAAUACCUUGUAAAAUUUUUCCGUAAAAAAUUUUCCCGCCAAAAAAUUUUCCCGCCAUAAACUUUUUUUCCCGGGAAAAGUAAUUCCGCAAUUUUUUUGGCGAAAUUUUCUUGGCGGGAAAAAUUUAAAAGAUAUUUUAAUGGUUUUACGGAGUAUUUACAAGUGUUUUGUAAGGUUUUACAAUGUAUUUUAAAAGGUUUUACAAGGUACUUAUAAGGUUUUAUAAGAUAUUUAUAACUUGUAAAACCUUAUAAAAAAUUUGUAAACCCUUAUAACUUGUAAAACCUUAUAAAAUAACUUGUAAAAUCUUAUAAAUACCUUAUAAAUACGUUGUAAAACCUUUUAAAAUACAUCGUAAAACCUUAUAAAUACAAUGUAAAAAACCUUUAAAAUACCUUGUAAAUUUUUCCCGCCAAAAAUUUUCCCGCUAAAAAUUUAACGCCAAAAAAAUUGCGGAAUCACUUUUUCCGCAAAAAAAAUUUUUUGGCGGGAAAAAUUUUACGGGAAAAUUUUACAAGGUAUUUUAAAGGUUUUACAAGUUUUUACAAGUGUUUUGGCGGGAAAAAUUGCGGGAUCACUUUUCCCGCCAAAAAUUAUUUUGUAUUUUGUGGACCUAAUUUUGUUAUAUUUUCUUAUAUAUUUGUGAUAUCUUUUAUUAAAAGAAGAGUAAUUUAGUCAUUUUAUAAUUAAAAAGGGGUAUUUUUAAAAAUGGACAGCCAAAUGGGGCAUUUUUGAAAAGGGGUAUUGAAAAAUGAGCAUUUUUGUGAGUCUCCCUUUAAUUUAAAGAUUUUUCAAAAAAAAUAUUUAAGUAAAUCGUUUAGAUAUAUUUUCUAGCUAAAUUUUUUUUAUUAUAUAAAAUAUUUUCAAACUUAAAUGUUAAAUUUAGAUGCGUGAAAACGGUUAGACUUACAUCCCGUCCUUUUGGUCCGUAAGUCUUGUGGUGUUAUAAUUUCAACAUGUUUCACGUAUUUAGAUUUAAUUUUAAGUUUUUUUCAAAAAAAAUGUUUUAAGUAAAUCGUUUAGAUAUAUUUUGUAGCUAAAAGUUUUUUAUUACACAAAAUAUUUUCAAACUUAAAUGUUAAAUUUAAAAACAUGAAAACGGUUAGACUUAGCAUCCCGUCCUUUUCGUCCGUAAGUCUUGUGGUGUCAUAAGUUCAACAUGUUUUCACGUAUUUAGAUUUAAUUUUAAGGUUUUUUCAAAAAAAUGUUUUAAGUUAAUCGUUUAGAUAUAUUUUGUCGCUAAAAGUUUUUUAUUACACAAAAUAUUUUUAAACGUAAAUGUUAAAUUUAAAUACAUGAAAACGGUUAGACUUAGCAUCCCGUCUUUUUGGUUUGUAAGUCUUGUUGUGUCAUAAGUUCAACAUGUUUUCACGUAUUUAGAUUUAAUUUUAAGGUCUUUUCAAAAAAAAAUGUUUUAAGUAAAUCGUUUAGAUAUAUUUUGUAGCUAAAAGUUUUUUACUAUACAAAAUAUUUUCAAACUUAAAUGUUAAAUUUAAAUACAUGAAAACGGUUAGACUUAGCAUCCCGUCCUUUUGGUCCGUAAGUCUUGUGGUGUCACAAGUUCAACAUGUUUUCACGUAUUUAGAUUUAAUUUUAAGGUUUUUUCAAAAAAAUGUUUUAAGUAAAUCGUUUAUAUAUAUUUUGUAGCUAAAAGGUUUUUAUUACACAAAAUAUUUUCAAACUUAAAUGUUAAAUUUAAAUACAUGAAAACGGUUAGACUUGGCAUCCCGUCUUUUUGGUUUGUAAGUCUUGUUGUGUCAUGAGUUCAACAUGUUUUCACGUAUUUAGAUUUAAUUUUAAAGUCUUUUCAAAAAAAAUGUUUUAAGUAAAUCGUUUAGAUAUAUUUUGUAGCUAAAAGUUUUUUACUAUACAAAAUAUUUUCAAACUUAAAUGUUAAAUUUAAAUACAUGAAAACGGUUAGACUUAUCAUCCCGUCUUUUUGGUCCGUAUGUCUUUUAGUGUCACAAGUUCAACAUGUUUUCAGGUAUUUACAUUUAAUUUUAAGGUUUUUUUCAAAAAUAAUGUUUGAAGUAAAUCGUUUUGAUAUAUUUUUUAGCUAAAAGUUUUUUAUUAUACAAAGUAUUUUCAAACUUAAAUAUUAAAUUUAAAUACGUAAAAACGGUUAGACUUAGCAUCUCGUCUUUUUGGUUCAAGUCUUGUGGUGUUAUAAGUUCAACCUGUUUUCACGUAUUUAGAUUUAAUUUUAAAGUUUUUUCAAAAAGUAUUAUCAACCCAAUAUGUUUCAAUAAAAUGUACAUUUAAAAAUUAAGUAUAUUAAUAAUGACUCUUUACGCCAAGCAAACAUCAAGAGUCUUCUGACAUUUUUAUUGCCUUUCGUCUGGUAGAAGAAGCUAAGGACCUAACAUUCUAAAGUGACGAAGAUAAACCGCGAAUAUCAACAUAACCAGCUAACACGGUUUUGUUCCUUUCCCUCACUUUCGUCUGAUAUAUAACCCUGUGAAAACAUGAAAAGCUAAGUUCAAGUUUUACUUAAAACAAUAAUAUGGAUAAUCUAUGUAAUAUAUUACCAAUGAACAAUACAAGGGAGGGAGUGAGAGAGAGAGAGAGAGAGAGAGUUCUACCUCAAGCCUUCAAGCCACAUUUCGGUUAUUAGAGUUUCGCCAGGAAAAACAGUCGUGAGGAAUCGUCCAGAUAUGGUUUUGACAGCAGUUGGGUCACCCUUGCAAACACACUUGAUGAUUGCCUUGAUUGCAAACCCGAGUGUGCAUAGCCCAUGCAAUAUCGGGCGUGGGAAUCUUCAAUGAAACAAGUGUCAGUCGUGUGGCAGUGAUGUGCAAGUUUUGGAAGAAAGGAAAAAAAAAACAUUUAAGUUGUAACUACUACCCAAAGAUUCCAUGUAAUGCCUUGAGUAAUACAAUGAAUAAUGAGGGAUUUGAAACAUUUUAAUCUGUUGGGCUCAAAUAACAAAACUUCUUUGACACAAAAGAGCUUUCGUAUACCAUCAAAAGAAUAGUACAAGUUAGCAUUGAUAGCUCAAAACUAUGAUGGAACUUCUUAAGAUUCAUUUCUUGCAGAAAAAUGUUGCCGAAGCCGUUUAUGGUUAUAUCCUCCGAAUUAUUGAAUUAAAACGUUGCUAUCUAAGAAGAAAAAAAACGAACUAGGAAGCUAUGAUCUAGCAUGAAAAUGACUGAAUGAGAAGCCUGAAUGAGAAGCUAUAUAAGUGGUUCACUAACCCGGCAAGUUUUGCAAAUUCUGGAUCUGAAUGCAGAGGGUUAUAGUCACCAGACAGCCUAUAAAGCAAUGCCUGCCAGGAAAUAUAAACCAGAGGGUCAGAUAAAGUAAACAACUAGGCGUUAAAGGGACCAUAAACAACUUAAAUGAAUAUCACAAGUACACCAAAUCAAGCACAAAACAAAUCCAAAUAAGUUUUUGAUUAACUUGCCUGCGAUGGUUGGGUGCGCUCUUCGCACACUGUCAAAGGUUGUCUUUGUGGGAUUUUCACAGCUAAGCCCUGGUUACUUGGAUAGUUUUUGUAAGAAAAUGGUUGAGAUGAAUUUGAGAAACCACCAGCACCUCUUAGAAAUACAGUCGUCCUGCAGAGAAAGUCCCAAGUUUAGUUCACGAGUGUCCAAACUUAAUUUCCCAGAAUAAGUACUUACAGAGACGUAAUUUACCUAUUCAUGCAUAACAGUUCCCCUGACCCUUCCUCGUAACUUCUGGUUUCUAAUUCAAGGAUAGCUGCUUUACCUAAAAGAUUGCCAUCAGAGAGAAAAAAAGAUGAUCAAUUUAAAAGUCAACUUUUAGUUCUCUGUAGUAGUUAGUUUUCUGCUUAAAAUUGGAGUCACACAAAACAGAAACAGCAGUACCAAGUACCUUUAUCUUGCAAUCCAGCGAGGCUUACUUUGUUAACUAACUGCGCCAACACAAACAAGAUCAAUUCAGAAAAAUUAAGCAAAGGCCACUUUGGAUAUAGAAGAAAAACCAAUCAGAAAGUUCUUGAAGAUCUAAUUCCCACGGUCCUCUAAAACCAAUCAGUAUAAGGGUACAGUGCCUAAUUAUCAAAAACAGUUCCUAUAUACAGGUAAAGGCUAGUUACAGAAGCCUUGGAAGGUAAUGGCCUGUAUAUUUCAAUGUACUGCUGUCCAUGCAACAAGAGACUAGGAUCGUAUCUGCAGACAAGAUACAACAACAUCUUCAUGUCUUUGGAGCUUUCUCAUAUAAAACCACAAUAAAUAAACAUAAAACAGAACAUUUUUGCUUACUUAAAACCUGGCAAAUCCAGACCUUCUGUCAAAGAUCCAAGUGUGAAUAGUGAAGCAAAAGUUGGUAAGACCUAUAAUUGAAAGCAAAGAACAACGAUUACUCAAAUAAAUAAAUAAACAUAGCUAAAUCCAGAUCAAUCAUUGAGAGAUACCUGGAUCAAAUCCUGGCCGUUUCUGUGAUACACAUACUUGAGCUCAUCGGAAUCAACAGCAUCUUGGCCACAAGCGCCGAUUCCCAAAGCAUAGAUUGCUACAUCUCUAUUUUACACAAGUGAAAAAAUCAAAUUCUUCAUCGAUCUCUUUCCUUAAUUGUUUCAAUUUCCUAAUAUCCUUCGAUUUUCUAUCAUACACACAGACACAAGAGUAGGGAGAGAAACACGAAGAGUGAAGAUGCAAACCUUUCGUUGUAGGUGUAUCGCGUCUGUGAGCAAAACCAGAAGGAAAAAAAGGCGAUCAAAGAGAGUGCGAUUACAGAGAAGUUUUGGCUCGAUCACCGAAAGAUCUGAUCAGAAAUCAAUAAGAAUGAAGAAACGAAAACAAACCUCGGGAAGCUUGUGAGCGAGAAGAAGAUCAGAAUUGAAUUCAGAAUCGGUAGUCGCCAUCUCCGAUCAGGAUUAGAGCUCAGCUUCCGUGUCCCAGCUGAUUUUUCUCCUUUCAGUGUUCAACGUUUAGAUAAGUCGUUUUCUCUAUAUACAGAGAGUAAACGACGUCGUUUUGCUUAUACAUAAGAUGGAUAUAGGAUUUUAUUUUUUUAAUUAUUAUUUUUGGUCUUAUUCUAUAACACACACGAUCAAAUUAUUAAGCACGGUCGCAAAUUGUAUACUAGAACAUUAAUAAUAGCUGUUUGACAAAAAAAAAAAAAAAAAAAAAACAUUAAUAGCUUUUCAGGUGGAGAAAAGAAAGCCAAGGAAUUAGACAAGUUAUCGGCCACGUUAGACGAUGUGGAUAAGAUGAUAUGUUUUAAAUUAUGAAUCUUUGAGAACUAUCCUAAGGCGCAAUGAUACUUUAAAUGGGAUAUAUGCUUCUUACUUGCUUUGGUUAGACCAUACCAUAGUGGUUCAACAAGACCCCACUGGGAGCAUCAACAUUUGGCCAUGAUACUCUUGAGUCUACUAACCAGUAACAACCUCAAUCGUAUUAAACUAUAACACUGUUGAGGAUAUAUAAGCUUUACGAUGAAACUGUAGAAUUAUAUUGAAUAAAAGUUUCGCUCCAUAGAAAAAGAAAGAAUAUAAGAAUGAGACCUCGAGCUGAGAUCGUUACAAACUGAUAUACUGAUUUUACCAAACUCUUUUCAUUCAUUAGCAAAAUGAAGAAUGUGUAAAACAAGAAACCCGCCUCCAGAACGCGUCAGCUGGCUUGGCUGACCAUCUCUCCGUAAUCUCUCUAUCUAACAGCAAGCUCAAAGCGGUCUGGUGCGGCGACCACUGGCUCUACCGCAGAGAAGAGCGUUCUUGGGGAUUGGAUAUUCAUCUCUGAGAGAAGUCGAGGGUGUGUAGACACGUAAAUACAACUGUUGUCCUAAGUAUUGCCUCGCCCAGAACUCGGAUCUUAGGUUCCACAUUCCUACGUUGUCGAGUGCUAUUAAUAUAGCUGUCCAUGAGCUCGGAUAUACCUGUAUAUGAAUGUUAAUCAAACGGUUCACAUUUGACAAAAACACAUGAUUAGAUUGUGGCUUUAGUAUGUGGAAGCUGUGGUUUACCUGCACGGUGCAGCGAGCGACUGCAUCGCGUAGAUUGUACACGUUCCUACUGUCUGGACUCCACUGCCCACCGUCCAUUCUGUAUCAGAAGAACCAUCUUUAGUCCAAUUUCUUAUAGCGAUCAAGAUCAAGAACUCUCUUUUUAUGAAUGGAAGAAUGAAACUUACCCAACAACCCAGAAAGAGUAACCAUCAAGAUGCCAGCUCUGGACAAUAUCUUCAGAGUUUUCGAAAACAAUCUCCACAAAGGUUCUGUAGUCAACUUGCAUAACAGAUGUGUCGAGGUAUAUUCCUCCACCAGUGGGUUGGUAUUGUAUGCUUCCACUUCUGAAAACACCGUCAAUCUUGAAGUAGUCCGCGAUUUUAAGAGGAGUGUCUGCUGGUUUGAAUGAUACACUGUUCACAGCGUAUCGUUGUUUCCCAUCGACCUGACCAGCAGAGCUAGCAAGUCUGAUUGUUCUUGUAGUGUUUAUCAUACCGUAGUGGUAUGAUCCUUGUGGAUUCGGUCUUGGUCCGCUCGCUGUAAGGUUAGUCCUACAACAAACAAACAUAACAAAUCAAAACUUUUAGGCACAACCAACCAAAUCCUACAAGAAGCUUUUUUAUGUGCACAGUUAGUAUACCUGAUGGCUCGAGCCUGGUUCAAGGACCAGUCAAUUUGAAUGGUUGGUCCACCGGGAAUAGGUCCAGAAACAGCACCAGCAGAGUUACUGUAACGGAGAAUACCCGUGGUGGUGAGGACAUUAGAGGUAAACCGAGAAGAGACGACCACGUAAUAAUCUCGAGGAGUUUGAUCCGCAGUUACAAGGACCGAGUAAGAUUGGCCAACAUGAACAUCUAGCGAAGAGAAAGUAGUCUGAAGGGUAUGUGUCCCUUCGACUUCGAUCACUUUCAUCUUAUGGUCUUGAAUGCGGAAGUUGAGAGAGUCUUGUAACCCAACAUUUGAUAUUCUCAACCUGUAUGUCUUACCUGAAGAAGAAGAAGAAGAAUAAGAACUCACAUCAUCAGUGUAAACUCUAGUAAUGCCUCAAUCAAUCAGAACUCAAAAAGAGGAAGGGUUAAAAGAAACCUUGUUCAACAUUGAGAGUGGCACCACUUGAACGACCAUUGAUGAGGAUACCGUCUGGUAAAGGAAGCUUCUUACCACUAUCAAGCUGUGCCCUCAAAUCCUACACAAACCAAUUUUCACACAAAAUUGAAAAUAAGUUGAAGUCCGUUAUGGAGUUAGUUACUCUGUUUCACUCUACUCUGUUUUAAGCUUAUGCAUCUUGUAUAUAAACACUUUUAAGUUCAUUUGAUGAAGUUAAUGAGAAAAUCAGAUCACAUGGGUCUAAUAAUUACCGUGUGGUUUGAUUUGUACCAGUCGCCGAUAAGGACGGUGGUAUCUCCGGCGGGAUCAGGGAAAGGGACGGGGAUUCUCGGGCGACUGAGAAUACGGAUACCGCCAAAUCCACCGGCGGCUUUGUGGAAACCGAGAGAAGGGAAGUAGUAGAAACUUCCGAUCUGAUCCUUCAUCUGAAGAAUGUAAGUGUAGUUCUUCCCCGGCGGAAUUGGACAUGUCGUUCCAUACACUCCAUCGACGAAAGAGUUCCUCCUCUGCUGAAUUCCAUUCCUGCGAAUUUUUUCCAAAAUAUUUAUGUUUAACCCCAAAACUAUCAUGAAUUGUUAAUCUUGCCCCUUAAAAUUCUGCAGUAAUCAAUUUUACCCCAAACUAUUAUGAAUUGUAAAUUAUGCCCCUGAAAAAGGUGCUACCAUGGAGAUAAAAAGUUAACUCAAACGUAGGAGUGUACAGCUAAUAAUUUUGGUAAGGUGGACCAUUUUCCCACAUGUAAAUGUUUUAAAUUAUGUAGUCACUGUCCAGAAAUUGUCAUGCAUAUGAAAGCUAAGCAAAAGUCAGAAAACUAUACAAUAAUAUAUGAUGUAAUUGAAUUUAACCGUAAUCACCCAACUAAUCAUGUCGCGUUGUGGAUAAAUUAAUUACAGUAUUACGUGGACCGAGUCCGACAUAAGGUGUAUCUUUACGUACCACAGGGUUUUUUUUUUUUUUAAACACGUUUUUAUUUUUACAUCACUGUUUUGAAAAAGGACAUGAAAUACUAUCCACGAGAAAAAGAAAAAAUAACUACUACACCUAGCCACUACUAUCAAUCGACAACGACAGAAUUCAAUAUUAUAGGGACCAAAAUAUCGAAUUAAACUUAAAAUUUGUUGAUUUGAAAUUUGGUUUAGAUUUAGAACAAGAUUUAGAAAUAGUUACCAUGAAAGGAGGAAAGGUUCGUCGAGGCUAUUGUAGACGUUAAUGAUGAGAUUAUCAUUAGUAACUGAGUGAAUGUCCGGUCCCGGAAACUGCCCGUUGAUCAGUAUACCCUAAACCGGAAAGUGCAGCGAGAUCCACAGAUUAUUAAUAACCGGGAUCUAUAAACCAAACCGGGAGGGAAUUAACUAAACUGUACGAGAGAAUGAUCAGUACCUGUUGGCGAACUCCGAGUGGGUAGAUAUCGCCGUAAGUGAUGUUCCAUUCGAAGAAUCUGUACGGAUCUUCCGCCACGACGGCGAAGAGAAGCGAGAGUCCAAUGAGUAAUGCGGCGGCGAAUGAGGCAUUGGCCGCCAUUUUUUUGGUAUGAAAACCGGUGAAAGAAGAAAGGUAUUUUUGGCGUGGUCUCUCUCUCUCUCUCUCUAUUUGAGACACAGAUUUGAGUGUAGAGUUUAUGUAGAGAGUCGGCACGUAUUAAAAAGAGGUUUAUUACAGUAAGAGAGAGAGAGAGAGAUUUAGAGAAAACGAAUAAGAGAGAAGAAAACAAAGGUCAGUGUCGGUGGCUGGACCCACGAGGCACGAGCGACUCUGUGUUCACUUUGAAAUGUGUAUUUGUCUCCCCACAAUCCACAUGGCUAAGCAACUGGGUGCCAUUUUUUUUAUAUGAGCCCAAAAAACAAUUUAAUUAGAAACAAACCGAUUAUUUGUGGUAAGGUAAACUUUUUUAGAUAUUGGAUUACAAUUUGGAUUUUUCAACUUUGUUAUCGUUGGUGGGAACUGAUUACCGACUGUUUUGGAAGGGAAAAUAUGUGGACAUACCUAGCGGAUUUUAUUUUGUUGUCUUAAAAGAUUUCACUCUGUAAAUGUUUUUGAUGUAUAAAAACUGUUUCUAAUCUCUCAAAACAUUAAGCUAAAGGAUGCAUUUAUUGUAUUUGUACCAAAAGUUUUUGUUAGAAUAAAAUUUUACAUCCAUUCAAAAAAAAAAAAACUGUGGUAAAUAGAGAUUACUAUGGGUGUGAGUGGUUAAAAAAGUAGAGUAAAUGAAAAAAAAAAAGGAAAAGAAUAGAAAAGUCACAUAUUAAGAGGAAAAACAACAAAUUCUCUCUAGUUUUGAAAAGAGAAUAAUUGGAUAAUUCUUCUAUUUCAGUAAAAAAAAUUUUCUUCCAUUUUUUUUUUGACUGGUGUACUGUAUGUAGAUAAACUUUUUUUUUUCUUUUUCUUUUUUUGUUAGUGUUGACCAGUAAUACUAAUACCAUAUAUAUUGGGUUUGUAUAGUUGGAUUUGAGUCUUCCUUACUGUAUAAUACCUUCAGUCAAAUGUCACAUGUGCAUUAAAGGACAGAAGAUAAGGUCUUCCAAUUAUUCAAUGGAGACAGAAAUACAUACAUAUAUCCUAGUGUAAUUAUUCUCUAUUCAAUUAGUAAAAAUCAGACUCACGUUGGAAAAAAUAAACAAAACUUAGAGAACCCAAUAAACAGCUUAGAUUCAAUAUGUGACGUGAAGAAUAGCAUUAAACUUCGAAACGAAGAUAAUUCACUAACAAAAAAUCGGCCAUCAAAAAGUAACUUAUAUGCCUCUAUUAUUCGAAUAAAGGUCCUUUAAAGUUGCUAGAGGAUGAAGAAGGGACCCUUCCUGAUGGUUAAAUCAAAUUCGUUUGGAAGCUCAAUUCAAUUUCUUUGGCAUUUUCGAAUUUUUUUUUUCUUUUUUAUGUAACUUCAAUAUCUGGACAGAAGCAAAACUUCAGUCGUAAUUCUCAAUUUUUGGCUUUUAAUGAAUCUCUCUACCUAUUUUGCAAAAAAGAAGGAAAAUAUUGUAGAAGGAUCCAAAAGUAAUCAGAAGAAGAAACAAAAAAAACCUUACGUGUAGCUAUCAAAAAGUAAAACAUUAACUUGACAUGCGUUUACAUUUCCGGAUUUAUCGCCUCUCACUACUCUCGUACUUUUCUUUGUUAUGGGUCAUUAGCACUUUAAUAAAAACUAAACUCUCCAAAAAUUAAGGUUAUAAUUAGAAAUUUGCUACAAGAAGAUUAUAAUUGGGUGAGGAAGCGACGCGUCAGAGCAAUUUGAAAUUGCCGUGGGGUCCUAAAUUAUGGAAUAAAGUGUUGAUCUAGAUAGGCCUGUAUAAAUGACAACACUUUGAAAAGAUCACACAAUAAUACAAAAAAGAAAAAGAGAAAGAAGAAUAAAUUUUUAAAAAAUACCAAAAAGAUACAAAACGCGUACGGUGACUGUAAAAUGUAAUAAAGACACAUGGAUUAGGUGUUCCAUGUGUGGACAACAACAUUCGAAUUCUUAGUACAUUGAUAAGAACCAGAAACGGCAUCGUAUUUGGGUACAUUUUGUGCAGUGGCGUUAAAACCUGAACAAGAGUUGUGUUUUAUGGAUACAUUUUGCAUAGUACUAUUUGCUUUUUCUUUUAAGUUGCAGAACUGGUUGGUUAAAGAAAACUUAAUUAGUAGCAAGACUGACUAGUCUCAAUUGCAGGACAUUAAAAGGUUAUAUGUGGUUCGUCGGUCUCUUUGUUAAAAAAGGUUACUAAACAAAUUAAGCGAUGUUUUCGAUUUCAAGUAAACGUCAAUUAUUACUCAUGAAAACCAGGUUGACUUGAAAUGAGUUAGGUUAGAUCAGCUAGUGGUUGAGGUCAUUGAUGGCGUAAUACUGCUGGUUCAAGAAUCACCAACCAGGACCACUAAACCAGAGAACGAGCUGCAAAAACUUCUGUGCCAUAAGAGGCAAAACUAAAAAUUCUUUAGUAGGACAAAUUCUACAACUAUGGGCAUAUAAGUAUAACAGUUUCUAUACAGAACCAGUUUGGCAAUUGUCACAUCAUCCAUUGCAGUCUCAUAGCUUUGGUUUUUUUCUUUUAGUUUAGAAAUCCAGAGAUCCACAUUGUUUGCUCUCUAUAGAUUUUGCAGUAGACCUAGCCUUUGUGUCCUUCUGAUCAUUUCCGCUUCCUCGUGGUCUUCCAAUGCCCAUCUUAGGUAAACCACGGUUCAAUCCCUCCAACAAAACACAAGCUUUGCACCAUUUCUGCAUUAUCGUAUAAGAUCAUUCAUUCAAAAAGACAAAAGCACAUUAUAUUAACUCCAAUGCACAUCUUGUUACGGUUUGUUAGUUCAUUUCUAUAACAUGACUUGAUGUGAUAAAGAGAGAAGUCUCACCUGGCUAGAAAUAUACCCACAUCGCUCACACGUCCCUUGCUCAGGCAUUUUCGUGGUUGUCGCAAUUCUGAAGUCUUCACCAGAUUUGAUGAUAUCCAGAAUAGCCCUUGGUCUGUAGUUUGCAUAAUAGAAGCUGAAGAUUUACUUGCUUAUUUGGUUGUGGUGAAUAUAAACAGUAAAAGUUGACAAAGAACCUUGGUCUUUCCAAGUCUUUGAUGAACUCACGAGCGAACCCACGAUAAGCAUUAGGAGAGUAUAUGCCUGCAAUCGUAAUAAAUUAUUCAACUCCAAUAGAAAUGACCAAAUUAUGCAUUCAACUCGUAGUGGACUUUGAAUAAAAAGCUAGAGCUCGGUUCAAGUGAAAUUUAAGAACAGAAAAACAAAACUUUGAAAAUGCACAACUUACAUUCGGUGGAGAAGUAGUCCAGCUUCUUGAAAUAAGCAUACGUGUCGCUAUGUUAAGGUCUCACGAUAUCUUCUGUUGACAGUUAAAAGUUGUUUUGAGAAAGCAAAACAAAGGAUAUUAUAGCAAAGGAUAUAUGACAAUCUCCUUCUCGUAUGUAUAUUUGAAAGGUUUACAUCUUGGAAUUGGACCAUCUUCGCCAGUAGUGAUUGAUGUGCACCUACUCAAUCUACAAUAGCCAAAUUACAAAUCAAUCAAUUAAGGGACAUGAGACAUAUUAUAGCCAAGAUUCAAAAAACCAUCACUAGAAACAUAUAUAUUUACCUAGCAAUAUCCCCUCGCAGUAUGUUUAAGAGAACUGUUUCUGCUAUAUCAUCUGCGUUAUGUCCAGUGACUAGCUUAUCUACUUUCAAUAAUGCAGCUCCUCGAUCAAGUGCCUUCAAAAGAUCAAUCAGACAUGAAAUCAUAAAUCAGAAAAAGAUCGGUCUGAAGACACUUGCUCAAAGAGGGAAUGCUAUGAAGAAACUUGCUCCUCACCUGUCUACGAAAUACACCACAAAAGGUGCAAUUGUUCUUCAAACCGAUCAUCUUCACAAUCUCGUCCAUUGUCCAUCCAUACAGAUCUUUGUAUGAAACAAUCUGAAGAGGCAAUCCAUACUGCGAAAACGAAAAAAAAGAGACUCCUUGAAAUGACAAAUCAACACAAAAAAAAAUGAAAUUUUAGAGUGAACACAUUACACACAAAUUCAAAAGCUUACUUGAACUUCGUUCCUUUUAACAGUCUCGAGAGAAUCAUCACGAUAACCCGUUAUCCCUUCAUCAACAGACAAAAGAAAAAGAUCCAGCCCGUAAUUGUGACGUCUAUUUAGUUCUGAUAAUACAUAUGCCAGCACUGUCGAAUCUGCACGAGCACAAACAUUUUUGAGUUAUUGGCCACAAAAAGAAAGAAACAUACAGUUGGAAAAACAUUAUGGCGCAAACAUCAAAACUAAAACAGAGUGAUUCGUAAAAAUAUAUAAAGGUUCAAACUUUGAAGCUGAAACCACCAUUGGUGUGUGUAAAGAAAUUACCUUUUCCACCGGAAGCACCUAUAGCAACUCGCUCACCGGACUUAAAUAAACGAUUCCCAACAAUGACUUGGUGAAUCUCUUCCUCAAAAACCUCAUAGAAACACUCUCUGCAUAUCUUUAUACAAAACACUCACAUCAUUACUUAUACAUAAACAAAUUAACUAGCAGUAGAUUGAUAAACUAUGAUAUUUUCCAAUUCCGAAGAGUCGAGAUAUUGGCUUUACGCAAAAUGCCACAAGAGUAACACAACCAACGACCCAGCUCGACGCUUUUGAUCCUAAUUCAAAACUUACCUGUUGAAGGGUUUUGGGUCGUUUGAGGACGGGUCGUCUCUGGUUGCAGAUGCAGCAGAGACGAGACCCUCCUGCUUUCUUGCUCUUCGCUUCGCCUGCCUCCAUCUUCUCCGGUGAACGAAACUCUAGUCUGCGACCGGAAAAACGACCUAACUGGGAGUCAUAUUCAAAGAACGACGUCGUAUUUGGUUUCGAUAUCUAAUAAACUAGUCAUUAAUGGGCUUUUUAUCCCUUUUAUCAUAAAACAAACCCCACUUACGAGAUUAUAGACACCCACAAUGAUGAGCGUUAAAGACAUUAUUAACAAAGGAUGUGGUCCAUUAAUGGAAACUUUUUCGUGAUUAGCUGGAUCUCAUUUGAUCUUAUCAAAACUAGCAUAUAAGGGAUACGUUACAUCAGUUGAUCUACAAAAAUAUCCAAGUUGUUCCAUUUUCUUACACGUUUUGAGCAGUUGUGUCGACCACAAUGCCAAAUCAAUCACUAAAAAGAAGAGUCAUGACGAAUCAUGUUUCGUCUAUACCAACGCAUUUAAUUUACUAAAUACGAAUUUGAUUGUUAAUCAAACUGGGGUCAUGUGUACGGCUUUGAACAAUAGUUGAAGAUUAUCAACACAGAAAUUAGAUCAUGUUGCCUGAAGAAUAACUUACUUGGGCCGUUGGAUAACUCUUAUACUAUCAUUUAUAUCAUCACUUAACCAAAUGAAAAUAUUCAUAUCAUUAAAAUACCUUGAGAUCUUUUGUUUUUAAAAACCAUAUACAAGAGAAAACUGUAAUCAACAAAAAAGCCAACAAACUUACACAUCACAAAAGCAAAAGAUGAUCAACCAACACAAUAAAAAAUAACAA
rnacentral:lncRNA from 1 species